rnacentral:lncRNA from 1 species
UUAACUAAAAAACCAUUAAUAUUGUUUUCCUCUGUUUUUGGCAAUCAAAUAUACAGCUAUCAAAAACAAAAACUGAAAAGAUAAAUCGUUACCAGAGGUGACAAAAGCCAAACCAUCUUAAUUAUUCAGGAAAAGAUUAGGAUAUAACUCAUUGAGUUACAUUAGUAUUACUAUUAGGUUACCCAUCUGACUAAAUGCAUCUAUUUUGAAUUCAGACAGCCAUAUACUGCAGCCUCUCUUUCUCAAGUAUUUUCAUGUUAAGGACGAGACCCUGAAGAUUCCCCUUUAUCCUACGAAAAAAAGGAAACGUAAGAAUAUCUUUAACGAAACAUAAGUAUAUAGAGAUCUGAUACAAAAUGCUAUGAAAACAGAUAGAUGGCAAUACAAUACACCAAGAUCUAUUUAUGUUUGUUUGUACAUAUAUGUGACUCAGCUAAAUAAAUGUGGGACAUGUUAAAGAAUAACAUCAAAAGGAUCAGAACAUGUCCAUAAAAAUAGAAGACUACAAUAAAUCAAUUUUAAUACAUCAGCUGCGGAGGCAUGUAACAGAAACCCUUGCUUGUUAGCAAGUUGAAAAGGCUUCGAGUGAAAAAAGAUAAACAUUAAAUUUAUGUCUAUUUUUGGAGGUCAAAUGUAAAUAGUGAGACUUGUAAUCUCUUAAGAAUACAUGAUGUUCAUGGAGAAGUAGCAUAACACUAAAAACUUAUUGGUUAAAGUCCAAUACAAUGUGGUGGAACAUUGCCAAUGAUUGAGGGAAUUUAAUGACCUCUGGUAGUCAAAUAAUAGUUCAAGUUUAUAUAAAGUUUAUCAGAGGAAAUACACACAAUGAACCGAACCCCUGUGCGUUUGCUGUAUAAUAACCAGAAAUAAGGGAUGAGGAAAGAAGUUAUCAUCUAUUUGACAAUAAAUGCUUAAGAUAUCAUGUAUUUGACAUAAAAACAAACAUAAAUAAAUAAAACCAAAAGACCUUGAUAACAACUAAAAACCCUGAAUUUAGAGCCCUAAAUGGAUGAAAUAGGGAUCCAUAAUUCCUGACUCUAAGAUUAAAUAGGUAGAGAAAAAUAGACAGAUUCCCAUCAUAUCAGCCCAACCACAUUUUGAUAUUGCCAUUUCCAAGCAUUGAUUGAAAGAUUAUGACUCCUUUUAUCUUGUUACAUCCUAAACCAAUCAAAGAUAUGAUAUAUAUAACAUACUUGGAUCUAUAUGUCCUUUAUUCAUGUAAUGAGAGAAAGGUUUGGGUGUCAAAAAGUAUACCUCACAUGCACGACCAAGUAUGUCAGCCUUCCUUGGGGAUAAAGCUCUGAACCAAUUGUCUUCCUUUUGUUCUGAACACAGAUAAAAAGUAAUGUAUUAAUUAUUAUUCACAAACAUCAACUUGGACAAAGUAGUUCGUAUUGGGUCCUGAUAUAUUUAUGUGAUUCAACAUAUCAAGACUUAAUCGGUUAAUAUAGACCCAUUCAGACAGAUCACAACUUGGCUCGAUUCAUCUAAAUGGCAGAAGUAGAAAUUUUAUUAUUCAUAUUUUAUAAAAACAAACUCUUAUAGUGGAGGUCAAUAACAUCAACGAUAAAUGGGUGGAUUUGGGCGUGAAACAUUUAUUUAUCUCCUAAAAAAAGGGUCAUUAUCCAUCUAUUUAAAGAAUAUUUAUCAAAAAUCACAUCCACCUUGACAUUCAGGGCCGUGUGCAACAAAUUUACAAAGAUAGGGAAACACUCUACUGUCAGGAAGAAAAAAUCUGUCGUAGGAAUUUGAUUUGUCAUAUUUUACAAGAACAAACUCUUAUAGUUUAGGUCAAUAAAAGCAAUGAUAAAUGGGUGGUGGAUUUAGGUUAUAUGAAACAUUUAUAUAUCUACUAAAAAUAAAUGGGUCAUUGGUCAGAUCAUUACACAUAAGACAUGACAAUAAAAUAUUUUAUUAAAUGACAUCUACCUUGCCAUAUGGGCGCAUCUGGAACGAACUGACGAUGAUAUGGAGACAUAUAAAUCCCCAAAUCAAAAAAUCGGAUGUUGUUUAGGAGGUAUUGCCCUGUUGUAAUUUGAAAAGGAGAGAGAUCUCCACCAAUUAUGUGAUUCCAUGACUUGUAAUAACCCAAUGCAUCUUCUUCAUCAUUCUUCUCUCCAUCUUCAUACACAAGACUCACCCCACACUCCUUUACAACUUCUAUAAAAUGGUCAUGCCUCAGCCGUGUAACAACAGUAUGCCUCUUUGGUGUAACAGUGAUAGUAAUGUGGUCACCAGCUUCCAUCUCGUUCUUCCCAAACAUCCAAUGACUUAAUAUCACCCAACAAUUCGGAUCUUUACUAAAUCUAUCCACGGAACGUUCGUAUAUCCACAUAUGGUUUUUUGUUAUAUUACUAAUUGUCAUCAUUGUCGUCGGAGGGAGAAGAUCAUCAACUGAUAAAUCCAACCCCUCAUCGGGAAGGUUUAAUGUGUGCAGAGAGCAGAAGUUGAGUCCUGUAAUGUUGUUUGGAGAUGAUGAUGAUGAUGACGGGAUGGUAAAUGAUAUUGACGGCCCCACACUUCUAUGCCUAACCCAACUCGGCAUCUCCUCCGCCUCAAAAACCGUGCUGAGUAUUCCAAAUUCAUAAAUCAUCAUCUGCCAAAUACAAACCACCAUAAUAAUUACAUUAUAUGUCUUCACAUAAACACAUGCAGUUAAGUUAACUAGACAAAACCUGGAUUUCAGACUCUGAAGAAUUAGUUCCCACACGCCUUUCAUUGAGGAAGUCUAAAUUAGUCCAGCCCAAGCUAUGCAAUACCUUUUCUUCAACAGUCAUCAUUUCUUGGAUUUUGAUGAUACCUUCAAUUUCGUAAUCGUUCAACCCAAUUGUACGAUAUAUCCAGUCUACCCAGUCUAUUGACAAACGAAGUGGGGACAUUUCUGGAAGAAAUGCAACUUUGUCUGUAUGAUAAUAAUUAGUAACAUCAAGAAACAACUUUUUUAGUGUACGUGGAGGAUACUCGACUGACUUCAAAUUUCUACAGUCCUCCAUACUAAGUAUCUCAAGUCUAGGAAGGGUUCUCACACAACUAGGCAUGGAAUUGAUAGGAUUUUCAUCUAAAUAUAAUUCCUUUAACAUGGAUAGACAACUGAAGUCCAUGGGAAAGGAUUCAUUGGAUAGCUUAUUAUUUUCCAGUGACAACCUUACUAAAGACCUCGGUAAAGACAUUGCAGAGGACUUCAAAUCACGUGGUAUACCACCCACAAAGGCUCUGUUUAUGCCAAUGUUGGUAACCGUGCACAUUUCCAGUGAAUCCAUAUCUAUAUUCUUGAUUCGAGAUUCACCAAGAUUACAACCAUCUAACAACAUUGUUUCAACCUUGUUUAACAUGCCUAUAUUUCUUGGAAGUUUUUCAAGUUUCAUGCAGUAGCUCAGAUCGAUGAGGAUAAGUCCAACACAUUGCCCAAUUGAUUCACAAACAUCAACCAAACCAAUGCAAUUUCUAAGCAUCAAUCUUUCAAGUGCAGGGAAUUGGUCAAAGUCACCAACACUAUGAAGUUGUUUGCAGAAACUUAAAUUAAGAAUCUUCAGUGAACCAAACAACCUUUUCUCUUUUAAGCACGAUCCAUCCAACUACAAAAUAGAAAUAAGUUAGUAUCGUAUUGAAUUUCAUCAACUCACAUGCAUGACUAGUAAAUGAAGAUAACUUUACCUUUUUCCUGUUCUCAAGUCGUUGUGGAUUGCUAUAACAACUGACAAAUGAUUCAAUAUUGCUAUAUGACAUAUCAAGGGCAACCACAUUCUGCAUAGGUAACUCUAAAGGCAUAGACUUAAAACGAAACCCAUUCAUACACAACCAUUUUAUUUCUUCUGGAAAGUUCUCAUAAGACCCAUUCAUGUACACAUAAUUGAGUUGCAGUAGCAUCAAAUUAUCCAUGUUACUUAAUGCAUCUGUUUUCAGCUCAUACGAUGCUCCCAACUUCUCUUUCUCAAGCAUGCGCAUGUCAAGGGCAAGGCCCAGAAGAUUUCCCUUACCCUAAGAAGAAACAGAAUGCAAAUAAACAAAUUAGGCGAUACAAAGUAUUUUGGACAUGCAUAAUACUAAAAGCAUAAUGGCUUCUUACCUUUUUUCGUUUCAACACUCUUAAUGAAUCCAUAUGACACCAUAAUCGACUUCGCUUCCAUGGUUUAUCAGGUGAUUCUUGAUGUACUUCGAAUCUUCCCAUCUCUUGAACCAACUGAUGCAUCUUCAAUUCAUUAUUCCAUCCGAUACUAAGAAGACAUCUGUCAAUGAGAUUCGUGAUUCCGGAUCUCGUGUCUAUAUCACAUGCCUCUAAUAUUGUUUCACUAACAUAUCUAUCUGUUCCAACAAAAAAACAAGCAAUAUGCUUAAACAAUUCCUUAUCGUUUUUGGAUGGCAAAGAGUUGAAGCUCAUUCUCAAGACAUUAUUUAUAUGAUCAUUUGUUUCUUUCUUUAGCCCUUUUAUGCACCCUUCCCAAUAUGCCACACCUCGAUUAUGAAGAACCUUGCCCAAAACUUCAAGAGCCAAUGGAUGUCCUUGACAAUACUCCAAAAGCUUAUUUGACACCUCUUCAUAACCUUCCUUGGGAUGCUUGCACAUGAAUGCAUGGGAACACAAAAGUUGUCGUGAUUCAGUCUCAUUUAAGCCAUGAAGAAAGUGUUUUGUAUGUUUGGGUUUAAUGUUUUUUUUGAAUAGUGCACAACUCUCUGUCAACCAUCUGUCCUUUGUUGUUAUUAUAACUUUGCUUCCAGGAUGAAAAUCUUUGCUUCCAAGUAAUGCAUCCAACUGAUCAAUACUAUUGAUAUCAUCGAGAACAAGAAACACCCUUUUACGAGCUAUUGCAUUCUCUAUUAUUGAUGUGUAUUUUGAAACAUCAUAAAUUUGAAUUGAACUUGUUUUUGAAAUGUCACCACACAGUUGUAUUUGUAUAUCAAGCAGCCCGGUAUAUUUUCCAUCACAUCUCCUAGUAAUAUCUUCAAUAUAACUGCUUUUGUGGAAUUCAUGCCAAUAUAGCCCAUAGACAUGUUUGGCUAAACAUGUCUUCCCCAUCCCACCUAUACCCGAAAUGGUGAGUAUGUCUACCGUAUGUGAGGAUCCAUCUUUCAACCAUGAAGUGAUGAAGUUAAUGGAAGACUUCAUCCCAAUAAGUAGUGGCUGAAAACUCUGUAAUAAUGGUACAUGUAAUCUACGGUAGAUGUCCUUCACAAUUUCUUUAAUAAACUCUGUCUCAAACCUGAAACUUAAUGUAAUAAGAAUUACAAAAUACAAUGCACAAAACUAACAAACCAGAUUUGGAGAUUUCUUUUAUAUAAAGAUCCAAAUCAAUAUUAUAUGACAAGUGUUAGUGUUAGAUAUAUGUAGAAUAGGAUUUAUUUGCUUUUAGGUUACUUUAUUUGUAUUUUCAUGUUUUAGGUACACUAGUUGAUUUAUAAAUGAGGGUUUAACUUGGUUAUCAAUGACAAGAUAAUAUUCCAGAAAUCUAUUCCUUCGUAGCAACUAUUAGUUUAAAACUUUUAAUCAAGUUCUUCGCAUCAAAACAUAUUGUAUUUUCAUUCUAACCAUAUACUAUCUAAUGUGUAAGCCCGUAAAUAUUUAUGUAUAAUAAGACCAAAACUACCAAUGUAAUACAAGUUUUCAUAAUGGGCCAUGUAACUUCACUGUGUUUUUACAAGAACAUCAAACUUAACUAUCAAUGAUGUGAGUCUUAAAAAAAUGCCUGUAGGUUAUCCUUUACUACUUACAACAGAAGUUAUUUAUCAUAAAAGAGAGUCUGAUUUGAAGGUAGUAUGGUAUAACUAAUAGUAGAUGUAUAGAAACCAACUCAAAAUUUGCUUCUUAAUAAAAGGGUCGACUAUUUAUUUAUGCAACAACACUUCGCCUUUUUCCCAAUUUAUGCAACAAUGUUAAAUUUAUAUAAAAUAUACGACAUUUCGUCCUUUUCCCGAUUUUAUGUAACAAUGUUAUAUUUAUACAAAAUAUGCAUCUUAGUUAUCCUACUGUGUCAAAUGUAUGUCUGUUUGAUAAUAUUAAAAAAAAAUACCAAAAUGCAUAGGGUGAAGAUGAUAUUGACAUUUUUCAUAUGGGUGAAUAUGUGGUUACCUGCCAUUUACGUCAUUUCCUUUUAAAUUAGCAACUUCGAUAAGUGCUUUAUUCCAUUUCUCUAUCUUUUGAGCCCAUUGACUUCUUUUAUUUUCAUCUGUCUCUUCAUCCAUUUUCUGUUUAUGCUUAGCCAUUGCAUCUCCAAAGCUACUUUGUUGCUUUCUGACAUGGGUGGGCUCCACAUGAUAAAAUAUGGGGAUGACAAUGUGGUUGGAUGUGAUACGCUGCUCAAGGAUCAGCACCAAUUCAUCCAGACACCAUGUUGAAGAAGCAUAAUUCUUAGACAACACAAUAAUAGAAGCCCGAGAUGCCUUAAUUGCACUCUCCAAUUCUGGUUUCAGAUCUUCCCCUGUUUCAAUCUCUUCAUCGUCCAAGAAGGUAUUGAUAUUGGCAUCUAGAAGGGCCUCAUACAGAUAAUUAGUAAAACUAAGACGAGUGUCAACACCUCUAAAACUUAAAAAUACAUCAUAUCUAUGAUCCUGAGUUGAUGAACUAGGACCACAAGUUGAUGAACUAGGGCCAUGAGUUGAUGAAGAAGAUGAAGAUCCUUCUGGAAGUUCAGAUAGAAGAACCAUUAUGAGUUACGUGUUGAUGAAUCUUCACCCUUCCCACGAUUUUGAGUAUUUAUUUGAACUUAAGGGUGUAUGUAAGUAAGCUUUGAAACUACUCCACAGGUUAUCGAUAAUGUAAGUUGGUUUCACCGGCUUUCGUCACUUGUGCUUCAAUGUCAGGAUCCAGUAUAUAUAUAAUGCCUGUACAAAAAUUCAAAUUAUUAGUAUUAACAAUAUGCAACCUAAAUCUAGUCAAACAACUUAAACCUCAAUAAUAAUAUUAAAAAUAUCUUUGAGUUCCUCAAAACUAAAUCUUUUAAGUAAUUAAAAUACAAUACAUAUGCAUCUCCAAACAUUGCCAUGUGAGCUAAUAUUCUUAGAAAAUGUUUAAAUCUCACUAUAUGAACUCUAAUUGUAUUAAUAUGGAAAUAUUACACACUAACUUUGAGUUUAGAGUUGAUAUUGGAGCUAUAUAUUGCAUAAUGUGUAUAUGUGUGUUUUAACCCUUGAUUUACUUUUCGUGCUCAAAGUUGAUUCAUAGCUUUAACUGGUACUAACCUGGGUUCUUUUUUUUGUGCAAGGGACGUAUGGGAAUCAAUCAAAGAGAGACUGCUCUUACUUCAAACAGAAAAAGGUAUAGCUAAGUAUAUAUUGAUACAGAGUAACAAUUACAUUGCCACGGGAAUUAUUUAGAAGUCAGUUACUCAGCUAAUAACUAAUUGAAUUGGUUAACCUAUAUUCCCAGAUAAGUUUGGGUGCAAAAAAAUAUCGAACCAUUUUAUUCAUGCUUUCUCUAGAUAUCAACAAAGAGUAAUUUGAAGAUCCAAACAGAAAAAAAUAAUAAUAAUAAGCUUCUUGGCAUACAGAUCCCCAAAAUUCCUUGAAGAUAUAAAGGAAUUAAGGAAAGUAAUUUUGGAGGGUUGAAGAAUUUCCCACUGUGCAGGAAUUUCUGUUCGUCAUUCUGCACAAGUGGACUUUACUCUAAAUGGUAUAUAAAAUAAAACAAAAGUAAUUGAAAUAGAAAAAGAAAUUCAAUCACAUGUUCACGAAAUAAACAAAUGAUUAUGAUUUUGAUUUAUGAGUAAUACGAAUGAAAUAGUCAAACAAUAUCUAAAACUUACUUGUAACAACGUGGCUUCGUAGUCAGCUGCCUACAGAAACACAAGGAGAUCUGAAGCAGCGAGGAUUGAGGAUGAGUCAACAGUGACGAGGCUGUGAAAGAUGACUGAAAGCUACAGACCGAAUGGCGGUAAGUCGGCAGGGAAAUGGUGAGUCAACAGUGAAGGGAGAUCGCCAGAGAGGAGAGUCAACGAGGAUGAUGGCUUUUCCUUUUGGUUUAUGAUCGAGAGGCUUCAGGGGUGUGAGUUUUUCUUUUUUAUUCUUUAAGUAAACAUAUUUAUAAGGAAAACGUAAAUUCCAAGAAAGUGCAAAAAUCUUUCAAAAUAAACAUAUUUAUUAGGGCAGGGUAGAUUCUAGGAAAAUGCUUAAAUAGUUAAAUAGCCACGUGCACUUUUUAUAAGUAGUGACAAUUUCUUAAAUUAAUGUAUAGAAGGUAGUGAUAUAUAGUGGGGUUAAUAUUAUAAUACAAUUUUAUCUUGUUUCAAUAACCUUUAUACUUUUUCAAUUUUUGGCUCCAAUCAUUUUAGCAUGUUUAUGGAUCUAUUGCAACUGUAAUAAUAAUAAAAAAAGUUAAACGAACUUUUUUUUAUUUAAAAGAAACCUCUUAUAUUUGAUUAACUUUUUCGUUUUGGCUAUAAUUAAUUGUUUAAGGUGAUCUUAAUGUAGAAAGAUGGAGGUUUUUAAUGUAGAAGGAUGGAGGUUUGGUUGUAUCUAUGUUUCCUAGUUUGAAAACGGAAUGUUUUAUCAAGGGCGGAGCUAGGAUUUAAUAUUAAGGGGCUCACAACGUAAUAAUAUAUUUAAAAUAUAAUGUUAUACCCGAAUAAAGUAAUAGGUCUAAAAUUUUAAAAGAAAAAACCACAAAGAAUUAAAAAUUUGUCUCCAUUAACCUCAAUCUUCAAAUGUUUUCAACUAACUAAAAGCAUCGACUCAUAUUUAUCCAUUAACAUGCAAGUAUUAAAAUAAGUAAUUAUAACAUAGAUACAUAUGGUUCAUUAUAUAUAUNNNNNNNNNNNNNNNNNNNNNNNNNNNNNNNNNNNNNNNNNNNNNNNNNNAUAUAUAUAUAUAUAUAUAUAUAUAAACAUAAAGAAGUAGUACCUUGUGCACUUUAAGUUGUGCUCGUCUUUGUUUAAUGGAAUAGAAAUCAUCUAUAAUAUCAUCCGUAGGAAAUGUAUCAGCAAUCUCUCUCUCUCGAUGUUAACAAGCAAACAACUUUUAAGAAAAUCAACAUUCAUGGUAUUUCGGAGACGUGUUUUCACAAUUUUCAUUGCUGAAAAUGUUCUUUCAGAUGUCGCGAUAGAAACAGGGAGAGUCAAUAUAAGACGAAUCAAUCUAUCAAGCAAAGGAUAAGUACCUGACUUUCUUAUUUCAUGUAGGCCUCUACACAACUCAGAAACUGUAGAAUAAUUUUUCAGUUGUGGGUGAUUUUGGACAUCUAGUUCAUAAUGUUGUAACUCAAGUUUCAACAAAUUCAUUUCAUGCUCUGUAAAAAGUCCAUAGGAUAAUAUGAUAUUGCCAAUUUACAUAUAUCCUCAAAAUUUAAGGAUUUUCUUGGAUCUAACAUAACACUGAGACGGAGAAGCUCUGUUGCAGACUCAUUAAAUCUAGAGUUCAACUCUUGCAAUUGACUAGCAAUAGCAGCAAUGAAUAGUUCAACUCGGCAGUGAUGCUCUGUGGUUGUAUUGUCUUUGUCAUGACGUUGGCAAUUACAUAUCUAUAAGUUUCAUUCAUGUUAGGGACAAGAAUGUUAUUUUUCUCACAAAAACAAACGACUUGGUCCAAAAGCGAUUGCCAACCUUCAUCUCUCAACUUUUGAAUCAAUAUUUUUGUUGUAGAAACCAAGGAUAGAGCAUUAACAAUAUCAAUAGAUUUUUGGUGUAAAGUUUGGCAAAGCUUGUCACUUAUCCCCAUUAUUUCUUUCAUCAUGUGCAUAACAAUGACAAAAUCAAAUGAAAAUGCAUGUGUACGUGCAUAUGCCGCAUCACCUCUUUGAGAAGAUGUAGAACCUUUUAUAGCAAUGUCAUUCAAUACUACACAAGAUGGACCAAACAAUCUCAUCAAACUGCAUAUUGAUUUGAAAUGAGAACUCCACCUAGUAUCUCCAGGCCUCUGCUGUGUUUGUAUUUCAUUGAUGCCUUUUCCACUCUCAAUUUCUCCGGCCUCAGUUAAAUGAGAAAUUUCAGCAAUUUGAGCAUCUUGAAGUUGAUCAUUACGUUUGGAAGAAGAAGAUAUGACAUUAACUACAAAGUUUAAGGUCUUAAAGAAGAUAUGUACCUCAGUCACAUCUUUAGACGCUACAACUAGAGCCAAUUGUAGUUGAUGGGCAAAAAAAUGUAUAUAAUAAGUCUAUGGACAUUCCUUUAAUAAUAAAGGUUGCAACCCAUUCCAUUCUCUACGCAUGUUACUAGCCCCAUCAUAUCUUUGACCCCGAAUAUCUUGAACACUAAGUUUAUGAUAAGAUAAAGAACAUAAUAUCUCAUUUUUCAAGGUCAAUGAAGUUGUACCUUUAACAUGAAUUAAGUCCAAAAAUCUUUCUUUCACAUGCCCAUCUUGGUCGACAAAUCUUAAAACAAUAGUCAUUUGCUCUUUCUUAGAUUUAUCUUGAGACUCAUCAACUAUUAAACAAAAUUUUGACAUCCCGAUUACAUCAUGAAUUGCUUUUUGUACAUUUGUAGUUAAAACAUGUAAUAUUUCUUUUUGGAUAUCUGGUGAUGUGCACUUUGCAUUUUGAGGAGCAUUUUCUAACACAACAUCAGCAACAGUCUUGUUAUAAGAAGCAAGGAACUUUAUUAAUUCAAGAAAAUUCCCUUGAUUUCUUGAGUUAGGUCAUUCAUCAUGACAUCUCAAAGAACAUCCCUGAAACGUGAGCCAUUUAAUGGCUUCAAUAGAAACUUUAAGGUGUAGUCUAUUCUCUAUAACUUGAUUAGUAAUUUGCUUCUCUAUCACAUUCUCUAUGUGUCAUAACUAGUUUUUUAGAUCUUCAUAGCAUCUAACAGAAAAAUGAUGUCCCGAGGCUGGAGUCUUACCUUCAUGUACGAUGAAAGCACUGUCUUUACCACAAUUUACCUUUUUCCAUUUAUUAAACCCUGAUAUGGCAAAUGUAUCUGAACCUACUUUGCCAAUAGGUUUUUUUUAUUGAAAAGGAAGUAAGGGAAACAAAAUGCAACAUCUUUUUUCUCAGAAUAUUCCAACCACCAAAAAUUCUUGAACCAAGCUUGUUGAAAACUGCACAUAGAUCCUCUAGGACCACUAGGAUUGAAUGGAUACCAUGGAUUUUAUCACCAAGCUUCCCAGGACCGCACGAGGGGUAGAUUCGAUAUGGGUAGUAGUGGAUCAGUUGACGAAGAGUGCUCAUUUUAUCCCGAUCCAGGAGAGCAUAUCGGCAGAAAAGUUAGCCGAUAUCUAUGUGCGUGAGGUAGUGGCAUGUCAUGGAGUGCCGGUAUCGGUGGUGUCAGACCGAGACGUCCGUUUUACAUCCAGAUUCUGGAAGCGGUUUCACGAUGAGAUGGGUACUCGUCUCCAUUUCAGCACCGCUUUCCACCCUCAGACGGACGGACAUAGCGAGAGGACGAUUCAGACUCUCGAGGACAUGCUCAGGGCAUGUGUUCUAGACUUCGGUGGCAGUUGGGAUACGUAUCUUCCGUUAGAGGAAUUUUCGUAUAACAAUAGUUAUCAUGCGAGCAUUGAUCGACCUCCCUUUGAGAUGCUUUAUGGGAGGAAGUGUAGGACCCUGAUUUGUUGGGGCGAGGUCGGUCAGCGGGUCGUUGGGAGCACAGAGGUGGUCCUCAAGACGACCGAGUUGAUUCAGCAGGUCCGUAGUAGACUGCAGACUGCGCAAAGUCGGCAGAAGAGCUACGCCGACAGGAGGCGUUCAGACUUGGAGUUCCGGAUGGGCGAUAUGGUCCUUCUAAAGGUCUCACCCUGGAAGGGUGUCAUCAGGUUUCGGAAGAGGGGCAAGCUGGUCCCUAGGUUCAUUGGUCCUUUCAGGGUUUUGGCUCGAGUGGGUCGGGUUGCUUAUCGGUUGGAUCUUCCAGUAGAGCUUAGCCAGAUCCACAACACUUUCCAUGUGUCUCAGUUGAGGAAGUGUUUGGUGGAUGAGUCAGCAGUUGUUCCCUUAGAGGAUAUUCAGGUUGAUAGCAGCCUGAAUUAUAUUGAGAGGCCGGUCGCGAUUCUGGACCGGAAGACAAAGACCUUGAGGAACAAGGCAAUUCAGUUAGUGAAGGUGCAGUGGCAGCACCGGAAGGGGUCUGAGUGGACGUGGGAGGCUGAGGAAGAAAUGAGAGAGCACUACCCGGAGUUAUUUGCAGAUUCAGCCGUAGCAGACUUCGAGGACGAAGUCUGAGACAAGUGGGGGAGAAUUGUAACGCCCCAUCUCUGGUAUGUUGUUCCUGUGGCAUUUAUUUAAAAGUUUUAUUGAGGGACUCGGCGAGUCUAUAGCAUGACUCGUCGAGUAGGGUCGAGUUUUUGUGCACGUGUUAGUCGGCGAUUCGGUGAGUCUGCCUGCCUGGAAGAAACCCUAAAUCCCCGGGUUGCUCACUAUUUAAGCAAUGCUAUGUGCCCCAAACUCGCCUCCUUCACCCUCAGAGAGCUGUGAGAAAACCCUAAUCCAUCCCUUAUUGUUUUAAGUGCUUUUGUGUGUGGAUUUUGAAGGCUUGAAGAAGAAGAAGAAGAAAGGAGCAAAGAGAAGAGGUGUAGAGCAAAGAUCCAAGGGCAAAAUCAGAGUUCAUUGAGGUAUUUCUCGGAUUCCUUCUGUUUUAUGCUUUAGACCUCCAUUAGAACUCUUCUAGGGCUAGUUUGAUGUAUUUUCCAAGCCUUAUAGUUGUAUGGAUGCCUUAAUAGGUCGAGAUAUCCCUAGAUCUGUUCAUUUAGGAGUUGUAGAGCCCGGAUCUAUUGCCUUUUUGAAGAUGCUUUGCAUAAGAACCCUAGAUCUAGCCUUUAUUAUGCUUUUUGAGCCUUAUUAUCUUCUUGGUCGCUUAUGGGCACGUAAAGAUAGAAUCUUUACGUGCUAAUCGAGUUAAGGAAGCCCAGAUCUAUAAGUUUCAGACGCUGGAUUCAAGCAGAAUCGAGUUUAGAGUAGCUGCAUGGAUGUGACUCGGCGAGUCGGAAGAACGACUCGGCGAGUCAAGUCGCGAGUCCCGUUUUUCCCCUUUUUGAGUGAUGUCGAGUGGAAGCCUGUGAGUAGUAGAGUGGACUCAGUGAGUUGGAGGGCAGACUCAGUAAUGGAGGGACUCGACGAGUUGUUCAUACAACUCGGCGAGUCCAAGGCAAUCUUCUUAGCUCAAGAACAACUCGUCGAGUUGUUCAUAUGACUCGGCGAGUCGGAUGCAGAUUGUCUGAGUUCUUGGAUCGAGAGGGUACUCGUCGAGUCGAUGCCAUACUCGACGAGUAGCAGCGAGUAGGGUUGAGAAGUGAGAAUAGGGACUCGGCGAGUUGGCGGCCCAACUCGGCGAGUCAGGUCAACUGUGGGUUGACUUUGACCGGGAGAGUUGACUUUGACCAAGGGUAAAAGAGUCAUUUUACCCCAGUGCAGUGAUUAGCAUUUGAUUGAGUGUGUUUAUGGAUUUGUAGCCGGGGAGAUACCGGAGCAGCAGCAGUUAGCUUCCAGAGCCAUACACACAGCAGCCAGUUCACGAGGUGAGUUUCCUUCCAGUAGGAACGGGUCUACGGCCACAAUGCCGGCCCGUUUAGUUAGCAGUAGUUCCGGACUUCAGUCCGAUGCAGUAGUUCAGUAUGCUUGAUGUCUAUGUGAUUCAAGCAUGUUUAUGUGUUAUAUGUUCCGGACUUCAGUCCGAUGCAGUAUGCAGUAUAUGUGCCUAUAUUAGUUGAUAUGUGUUAUGCUAUGUUAUGAUCAGUCAGUUCCGGACUUCGGUCCGAUGCAGGGGACAAGGUCCCAGUCAAUUCCGGACUUCGGUCCGAUGCAGCUAGUUCCGGACUUCGGUCCGAUGCAGUGGGCAAGGCCCAGUAUGUGCUUUAUUUGUUAUUGUGUGGUAUGUGGUAGUUCGGGGGAGCUCACUAAGCUUCGUGCUUACAGUUUCAGUUUUGGUUUCAGGUACUUCCGCAAGCAAAGGGAAGAGCUCGGGAUGAUGACAUCGCACACACCACAUCAUCAGUUUUUGUCUUGGGAGUUGAUUCAGUUUCUUGAUAUGUUUUGAUACAGUUUUUCUCACAGUAUUUUAUUAUGGUUUUCAAACACGUAAUGUAUGGCUUUAUUAUGUGAUACUCAGUUUCAUGUUUUUUGUUAAAAUAAAAAUGAAAUUUUUGGGUCGUAUUUUUGGGUUGUUUCAAUUCCUAUCAGGUUGUGGGUGUGUAUUACGAACAUCUUCUUUAAUAUUAUCACUAACCGGAUGCAAUUGUCGGUCACACACAUCCUCCGUUCGUUUGAAAAAAGAAUUGAUGGUUCUUUUCUUGCUGAUAAUUUACCCUAUAAAUUUAUAAUUAUAAUAAACCAAAUUAUAAAACCAUAAUUAAAUUACUAAUUACAAAUAACAAAAAAUAAAAUAUGCAAUAAGUAUUAAAAGUUACCUUCUUAAUUAAAUAAUUGAAAUCGCUUGAUGUAACGUGUUUCCGGAAAACAAUUUGUUACUUAAAAUUUAACCUCUUAUCCUCUUCGAUGAAUAACAGUAGCCACACCUUGUCUUGAACCCUUGAUAAAGCAUCGAUUAAUAACCCUUUUUUUAUAAACAAAUGGGGGUAUUUUGCUAUUGUUAUUGAUUAAUAUUUGAUUACCACUUAAAUAAAAUAUAUAUGAUGGCGACAGUAGUUAAAAAUAGACAUGGGCCUCAAUCCUCAUAAUUCUACUUAUUUGUAUAUAUAAUAUAAAAUAAUUUUUUCAAAUAAUGAAAGAAGGGGCUCAAACCAAAUCACUUAACCGAAGUGGCUAAUAUUUUAUUNAACACCUAACAACCCCCAACCCCUCUAGUACGUCCGCCACUGUGUUUUAUAUUUGCUAAUUACUUGACUGAAAUUGUAUAGCUGUUUGCACAUCUACUACUUUGAAGCAUUGACGGAUCUAGUAUAUAUCGCGGGGUAGCACAGGAUACCCCUUAAAAAAUUUAGUAGUGUCAUUUUUUCGGAUUUUUUUUCUUAUUGUGUACUAUGCGAUUUUUUUUUUGUCAGGAUACCCCUUUACCUUUACUUUGUUCAUGGAUUCGCUACUAUUUGAAGAUUGAAGGUUGUAUGUCUAUUAAAUUGGGUGGCAUCUGAUCACAAAUGCUUUUAUACAUGUUAGUUUCAAGACCAAAGGAUUUCAUCUACUACUUGGAGACUACAACUUCUUCUUUUGCUAAGAAAAGGUUUCUUAGUUAAUUUGAAAAUGAAUAAUAAUGCAACGUCUAAGGAAAUUGUUGAUUAUGCUCUUAUCUACAUGUCUGUAUAGCACGAAAAAUGACUCUUAAAGGAAUCUAAUAAGAUUUUAGUUUUUUUAACAAGAAUAUAUUUUUUGUUUAGGAAAUAGCUAGCGAGGGGCAACAAUUACAUGAUGUAUGUAUUCCUUGUGUGAUUCAAUACAACACUUUAACCCACAAAAGGUUUCACCUUCACUAGCUCUAAUUCUAAGUCAAUGUUACAUCACUUACUAACUGGACGUAGAAUGAUUAUAAUUGUUGACUAGGCUUUCAAGAGUCAAGAUCAAGAAAUGAUUGUUCUUGUUAUUACAAUAUAACAAGUAAGGUAAUCAUCUAAUCUUGUUUCUUAUGUGAAUUUGGAAAUUGUAUGCUAGUAUAUAGGAUUAUUGCUUUAGUGUUCAUAUUUGUAUGUUCAAUAGAGAAAAAAAAAUUAGAUCCAAAGCAAUUAGGGUUGCAUGUGCACCGUAUGAAUAUUGUAAUGUUCAAAACCCAGAGCCUAAGAUGUUUUUCAAUUGAACUGAUGCUAGAGUGUACUGUCCAAAGUAACUAAAAAUCGUUUUUCUGCUGUCUGAUGCAGGAACUCGACGACUUCUUUGCCUAACCCGACGAGUUAACUCGUCUGGUGCCAAAUUUUUCGAAUUUCAGAUAAGUUUUUGACUUGGAUAACUACCAUAACUAGGUUUUAUUGCCUAAAAUCGAUUUUUAUAAAUGGUUAUCUUCAUCAAAAUCAAAGAAUUUGGUUAAUUAUGGAUAAUAUAAGAUUAUUUUGAUUCAAGGAUUUAACCUAGUAAUUUUGAAAAAAAAUUAAAUUACACCCUCGUGGUUUUAUAGUUUAAAUUUGAAAUUAAGAGUUUUAAUUUUUGGAACUUUAAAUGGUUAAACCCUAGUAUUUUGAAAAGUUUCAAAAGUGCACCCUUUGGUUUUAUAUUUUAAAAUUUAAUUAAAUAGCUUUAAUUUUGAAAUCUUAAAUUUAGAACCUUGGUAUUUUUGAAUAGUUUAAAAAUACACUCUCAUGGAUUUUAUUAAAUUAAUUAAGUGUUUAAUAAAAAGAGAGAAUUAAUAAAUUCUUAAUAAUAACGUUUAAAUUUAAUUAAAUUAAAAGUCUAAUUUAUAAAAAGAUUAAACCACAAUGUAUUUAAAAAAGUUUAAAAUACACUCUUAUAUUAUAUAAAAUUAAAAGUCUAAUAUAUUAUAUAUGUAUAAGAAAAUGUCAGUCUUACCAUUAGUAGACCUCAUUCACGAAAGUGAUCUAUAAUGGGUGUUUAGGGAAGUGAUAUUGUCAUAUUUAUACAUGUUUUUAGGAAAUAUUAUUUAUAUUUUUAUUGAUAUUUUGGUUAUUUGUUAGGGUGCAAAGUCACUCUUGGAUGUAGUUUUAUGGCUUGCCUUCUUGUAUGUGUAAAUGGGUUGAGUCUUUCCUAUAAAUAGGAAGUAAGUGACUCGCUUUAUGUAAGGAACCAUUUGGAGUGUUAGACUAGAGAGAGAAAUUAUGUACAAACUCAUUUGUAUAUCCUUUCUAGAUCUAAUAUGAGCUUAUAAAGAAUUAUUUACUCCUUGUGUUCUUGAGUUUGCAUGAUGAUUCACUAGAUCUUUUCUUAUUCCACACAUGCCAUCAUAAUCAACACCACUAUAUUAUUUGCAUUGAAUAAUGGUACUUAUAAGCUUUAAUUGUUCUUUGCAGCCAAAGAGAAGCAUGGUCGGUGAAAAGGACUAAAAUUGACAAAGCAUGGAAGUUUGGAGGCUUGGAGAGUAAAUGAGAAGGAAACUUACGUAAUCAGCUAAUAUUCACAUCGUGAGGAUUAUAAAUUCACGACAUGAGCAUGAAUCUUCCAGAAGAUUAACAACGCGAAGAGGAGUCCUUAGCCAACACGGAUAUCUACUAUUCAUGUCGUGAGAGAUAUCACGACAUGAGUGCGGAAAAAUCAGAAAGUAUAUAACUUCUUGCUCAUUACGAAUGAGGAGACUUUUGGCUACCUUAGAGGGUUCCUAGAGUGUAACAUCCCAUUUAAAUAUAAUAAUUUAAGAAUAAUCCCGGAACCCCGAGAAGCGAUUUCUAUUAUUAUCAUAUGUUAUUAUAGUCCAAAAUCUGAUAAUAAUUAUCUGGGAGUCGUUUUCGGGAAGCCAAAUGAUAGGAUUUGAAUCUCCAGGGGCUAAAGUAUAAUUUUGGGAUUUAAUUUGUAAAGAUUUAUGGAAACAUGGACUAAAUGGUAAGUUUUGGACCAAACUUGAAAAGGGAUUUUGCAUAGGAACGGCCAUUUGGUAACAAUUGGAUCAAAUUUGAAGGAAAAACAAGAUGGAGGGGCUUGUUCUGUCGUUAUGGGAAAAUGUUAUAAGGGAGUCAGGGUAUAAAACCUGUUACCCUCUCAAACCCUAACCCUAGAUCGGAUAUGAUGCAGCCGUCACCACCCUCUCCACCCUUGUUUCCCCCCAGCCGCCAUUACCCUCUUCUUCCUCCUUCUCCGACUCCGGCGCUGCACCACCACCUGUUGCUCUUGUGUUUCCGACCAACAAAGCCAACCAAUGUCGCCCGUAGCCACUUGUGAUGUCAUCAAUGUUGUUCUAGCGUCCCCUAUCGACGACUCCCUUCCAGCAGGUGGUUGCCUCCGCUACGCCGAACCACCACCAGUCGUAGCGCGAUUGUUGCUGCCAUGGCUGCCGAUAACGGAGUUGUCGACAACAAGAUCGAUAGCCACCAAGUCGAGGACCAACGAAGGACGUCGUGGCCACUGCUGUGACGGGCAUGACAACCUCCCUACUGUUAAUCACAUUCUCUCUCUCUCUCUCUCUCUCUCUCUCUUCGUUCCGUUCAGGCCACUGCAAGCGGUAGACUAUUGAUGGACCAUCCAAGAAUAAGUUAAUGGACCAAAGUAAUUAGAUGGGCUUUAGGAUAAGGCCCAUGUGAGGAAUUGGGCCCAAUUUGGAAGAUUGGGCCAUAUGUUGGGCCAUGGCCCAUUACUUGACCUUUGGGCUUUUGUAGUGUGAGUUGGACUUUGAGCUUGGAACCCAAUUAUUAAUUGGGUAUUGUUUGAUGGUGACAGUUCGGGAAUCUGUCAAUCAGCAGCUGGAGCGUACCUGCGGGACUUCAGCAGUGCCAGGUGAGUUCUCCUCACUAUAUCAACAGGGUUUAAGGCACCAAGGCCAGUCCUUUUGGAGUUCUCCUCACUAUAUCAACAGGGUCUAAGGCACCAAGGUCGGCCCUUUAUGGAUUGUAUACGGAUUAUUACAUGUUAUGCUUACUGAUUUAUAUCCUGGUAGUUAGGAUGGUGAUAUGCUAUGCUUUAGUAACCUGUAGGUCGAUAUCCUAGUUAUGGGAUUGUUGUUAUGCUUUGUAAUUUGUUGGAUCGGUUUGACUGUUAUAUAUAUAUAUAUAUAUAUGCUNNNNNNNNNNNNNNNNNNNNNNNNNNNNNNGACUGAUAUAUAUAUAUAUAUAUAUAUAUAUAUAUAUAUGUGUGUGUGUGUGUGUGUUUGUGUGUGUAUAUAUAUACAUGCUAGUGUUAUAUGAUGUCUAUGUGCACAUGUUUCUCCUGGUUAUAUGAUGAUGCUAUGUUAGUGACCGGUUAGGUCUGUAAUCCCGGUUAUUGGGAUGUUGCUGUGAAUUGUGAUCUGUUAGAUCGGUUUGAUUGUUAUAUGAAAUGAGUUAGCGUAUGAUAUUUAUGUGCACAUGUUUGUUUGAUUGACGGUUGGGUUGAGGCGGUCCUGCUUUGUGCUGUAGGCCAACAUACCCGACGAGCGGUACGAAUAGGUUGUAGGCCCUGCGUGGCGGUCCAGACGUGCCGAAGGCUCGAAGAGCAGUCCAGAUAGACUGAAGGCCUGUGAGGCAGUCCAGUUAGGCUGAUGACUCAUUAUGCAUCUUGUUCUGUAGUGGUUAUACGAUAUGGUUAUGUUUGUAUGGCAUUGGUAUUUUGAGGAAACUCACUAAGCUUCGGGCUUAUAGUUGUUGAUUUUGUUUCAGGCACUUCGGAUGAUUGUGGGAAGCCGAAGGCGUGAUCGUGCACCUCCUCAUAUUUUCAUGAUUGAUUCUGGGAAUACUCUGAUGUCUAAACUAUUUUAUGGUACUCGGUAUUUCAGAUGAGUGGUACUCGAUUGUCACACCCCGCUGAAGCGGAAACACGAGGCGUGGCAGUAUAAAGGGUUUCAUAGCAAAAGUUAAAAGACAACACCAACCAUAGUAUUAAAAAUCAUUACAAAUUUACAAUGGGUUUGAACAAUUUUUACAAGAAAUUACAAUGAAAAUAGAAAUACAACACAUGCGAAUGCUCCUAAAAGUGAAGUGUCCCUAAGUGCCACUUACUCGAUAAUUCCUAAAAAAGCAUGUAAAACGAGCGUCAACUAUAAAAAUAGUUGGUGAGUACUCACAAAUAAACAGAAUAAUCUUGGUUCCAUGGGUUGAAAUCAAAGUUUUGAUAAAAGUUUCCAAUAAUACAAGUAUAUUGUUAAAAUGAGUAAAUAAGUUUGUAAAAGCAAAGUUCUUUUGUCAUCAUGAGAGAUAAAGUAUAUUGCCCGAAUAAGAUGCAACAUUCAUAUUCUCAUGGAAGAUAAAGUUCGUUACUCAAACGAGUAAACAAGUUUCAUUGCUAAAAUGAGCUGUCAAUUUCGUUGCUACAAGGAGCAAACAAUUUCAUUGCUAAAACAAGUAUAUAAGUUUUCAGUAAUAAAAGUUCGUUGGUAUAAUGAGAAACAAAGUUCGUUGCUAUAAUAAGCGUAAAAGUUUCGUUGCUAAAAUAAGUAUACAAGUUUCAUUGCUAAAAUAAGUAUACAAGUUUCAUUGCUAAAAAUAUGUAUACAAGUGUCGUUGCUAAUCAUGAGAAUACAAGUUUCGUAUGUGCAUAAAGAUUCGUAUGUGCAUCAAGUUUCCAUUCAUGAGUUCACAACCCAAGCCUAAUGACCGAAUCAUGCCAUAUUGACUACUAUGUGUAUCGCAAACAUAGUGUAGAAAAUGGUAAAAUGCACUCCAGCGAAUCGUGGGAGUGAGGAGUUAUCUACCUCCUGAUAGCGCUAUCCAUAAUAACCAUAGGCUCAAAAGAGUUAAUGAUUUGUGUCUAGAGAUUCCAGGGACUUAACCGCAAUACCGUCCUCAUGAAUUAAAGUAACAUACACAUACAUACGAAAUAUAGCAACCAAGUUUCAUACAAGUCAAAAUAAAUACAACAAACAUAAAAAUAGUUUAGGACAUGCUUUUCCACCCCAAAACAUUUAAAAACUGAAAAUAGGGGAGUGCGUGAAUACUCACAAUAUGCAUUGAGAUGAUGCAAAUGGUGCCUUGACUAUGCUCCACUCGUACCACUAUCGAUUCCUACAAUAAUGGUAUUCGCUAGUGAGUCUCUAAUCGAAAUCUAACACUAGUAUACUUACUACUACAACAGAAUUAUGCCAAUAGUGUGUCAAAAUUUAAUAUUGAUAAGUUAUAAACAUUUUUCUGUUAAAAUUAAAUUCCAAUGAAUCAAUUGUUAUAUAACAAUUUAAGUGUAAUUUCUCACUAUUGAAAUGUUAAUAUUUAACAUUUUAAGAGGCGUUCCAAUGAUUAAAUAUUCAAAAAGUAAAUCAUUUUAGUUCUAAAAUAUCCCAAACCUUGCAUUUCAGUUUUAAUUGAAGUCAAACACCUUAAGAUAAAUUUUCUUGAAAUUUUGAUUUGUCUAAAUAUUUUUCACCACUUUAGUUUCUCGAAUAACCAUAAAUUCAUGAAAAAUAGUAACGAGUUAAGAAAAUUCCCCAAAAUUUUAUAUUAUUGUUAUUAAACAUUGCUAAGCUGGGAAAAAUAUAAAAAUGGAUUUCCAAGCUGAUUAAUUAUAUUUUAUGAUUUUUGAACAUUUAUUCCAAUAAAAAUUGAAAUAAAUAGAAAAUAGUUUCCAAAAUUACCCAUACUUUUUAUUUAACUUUUAUUAUACAUAAAUAGUCUGGAAAAAAUAUAAAAGAUAUUUUUUAGUAGGUAUUUCUAUUUUUCCUUGCUUUAUCCCCUUAAGUAAUCAUUAAUUGAAGAAUAAAUAAUAAACAGUUAAAAUAAAUUACCAAAAAAAUUUAUAACAUCAUUUACAGUGUAAGUAAUCUGGAAAAAAUACCAAAUGUGGUUUUCAUAUUGUAUAAUCCGGUUUGGGUAUUUAUGUGUAUUUAAGUGUAUUUAAGUGUAUUUAACCUUAGAAAAUAGGAGAAAAAUAGUAUACAGUAGAGAAAAAUCAUCAAAUUUUUAUGUAACUCCUACUGUACAACAUGAUGUUCUGGUAAAAGUUCAUGAAUUUUGGAUAAUCAGAACUAUUUUUCCUAUUUUUAGGCCAUUAUAAUUACAAAAAAUUGAGAAAAAUAGGAAGACAUGAUGAAAAAUUCUGAAUUUAUUUUUCUGAGUUUCCCACCACAGGUAAGAGCUGCGAAAAUUGUUAGAUACAAUUUUCACACUUCCUAAAGUGGUUUUGUGAUUUAUUAUACCCAAACGAAAAGAAAAUCGGAAAUCAUACCAAACUGCAACAGAAAUUGAUGAAAUUUAGUGAGGGGUCAUUAUUCACCAUAAGGUUCAUCCAUGAAUUUAUUCCGGAUUUAUUGACCUCUGGAAGUGUUUUAUGUGAUUUAUGCCCUUGGUUUCUAGUAAUAAUUUUAAUAAAUCAAAGAAAUAAUAAAAGCUUUUGGUAUUUUACAGAUUAUCACAUGCAUGUGAGGGAUUUCAAAAGGAAAAAUGCUCAAAAUUUAUUCAGAAGGGAAAUAGGGGUAUUGUACCCAAACAAGUUAAGAAAUGUUGCAUGCAAUGGUGCAUGAGAUGUAAAUGUGGCUGAAGUUCAUGAAUUUGUAUAGCCCAUUCGGUGGGGUUUUAAGCCACGAAAUUUCGGCCAUAAUUCACUGGAUAUGUUAAGUUUCUAAAGUAUUUUUCCCCAGAUUUAUGGUUGGGUUUAAGGCCAUUGAUCAUACAAGGCAAAAAUGGUGAUCACAGAAAAAGAGCUGUUUGCACAAUCAUUUUGUAAAAAUUGCCAAAAAUCGGAUAUUUAAUAUUUUAUAGUGAGACCAGUUGGGUUUGAAAGUUAACUCAAAGUAUUAUAUUUCAGAAAAAGAAUCACGAAUGUGGGUUAAGAAAUGAGUGACAUAUAAUAGUUUAAAGUAAGGUAAAGAAAUCUGGCAGAUUGCAUGCAUGAUGAUUGGUUAGAAAAGUGGGUUUUCAUCAUUUCCUUGAGUAAAUCUAUUCAAGUGUUUUAAAUAUAUCAUGAUACACUCAUAUUUUAGUCAUGUUUCCAGAGAUCAAAAGAUUAAAACUUAUCAAAAUGUAUACAUGCAUUUAUGAACAAAAUUUUGUUUCUCAAAAACUCUUAACUUGAGUUUGAUGUUUUAGUCCUUAAAAUCGAUUUUUGCACUAAGAUCAUGAACAUGCAACCUUGUUUAUCAUACAUGCAUGGUGUUAGAACACAUCCAUGAUGUUCUAAAAACCAUUUUAACAAAAAUAAAACAAGUUUGAAGAAGAUGAUGAAGUAGAAGUCGGUUUUUGAAGUAAAAUGCACAUGCAUAGCUUAAAUCAUUGUUGUGGAUCUUCAAGAGAUGUAUGUUCUUUACCUUAAAUUUAUUUGUGGCUUGAAAAACCCUUAUGAAUCUCCAUAAUUUCGUGGUUAAGAGGCUGUGGUUGUGGUGUUUGGAGAAAAGAAAUUAGAGAGAAGGUAGAGAGAGUUUUCUAGAGAGACAAAGAAGAGAGAUGUGUGUGUGUGUGUGUGUUGGAGAGUCAGAGUGAAAGAGAGAUAUAUGGGAAGAGAGGGGUCCGAAAUUUUGAGUAUAAUAACCCUUUCUCAUUCAUUUUGUUUUAUAAAAUUUAAGUCAUUUUAUAAAAUAUCUAAAUUUUAUAUAAAAUAUGCACUAAAAUCAAGUUUUUAUUCAUGAAACCUUGAUUUUUGACUUAUAAAUUAAGGAUGAAUGUUAAUGGCUUAAAAUUUUAUUUUCCUUGAUUAUAUUUCCCUGAAUUUAACUGUUUUAAGAGAAUAUUAUAAGUUUCAUAACUAUUUUUAUAGAAUACUUGAUGUCAAAUUUUAUAAAAUUUAGGUUUUAGGGCUUUUAGGGUUUUGAAGUUUAAUAAACUUCGAAUAUCAAAAUAAAUUGAAUAUUUGAGACUUCAAAUUAUCUUAUGGUAUUAUAACUCUUUUAUAUAUAAAUAAUGUUUGUAAUUUAUUUUAAUCGGUUUAUUGGCAUUCUAUGUAGUGAUUCCAAGAUUCAAGCGAGAUUGAGGAAAUCAAGUAUACUAGUCCUAGUCUUCAACUUUGACUUAAGUUUCUAUGAGACUUUGAACUCACUUCUACUUCUAGGUCAAGUGCAUGAUGUGUGUAUAUGAUUCAUAAAAAGGUGUUCGAUUCAAAGAGCGACCCGAAUAUGGAUAGUCACUACAGUUAAGUAAUUGUAGAAUUCACAUAUCAAUGUGAAAUCUAAGUACACCAUCCAUUGUUUCUAUCUGUUUCCAAGUUUCUACUAGGUUAUAACUUAGCUUCUAAUUACUAAGUCUAAUAUGUGUUGUGCCUAUAUGUGCAACUAUGUCUAGUCAAAUCUAGAACCGACUCGAAUUUUGAUGGUUGUCAUAUCGGUUGUGACGAAUCAGAGGAUUUUAGAUGGGAUGCAAGGAUAGGUCCUUGGAUUUUGAGUUAUUGGUUAGACCCGAGUUAUGUAUAUAGUGGUAUUCCAAUCUAGGGUAUUCCAUCGUUAGGAUGACCGAACCCUAUGAUUGAUUGGAUAUGGUGUGUUUGGUAUUCCAACCCGAGGGUUGAUUGGACCAAACAUGUACGUGAUACAAGGGUAUUCCAUCCUAGGGAUGACUAGACUCGUCGUAGGCAUGCCUAGUAUUCCAACCCGAGGCUGAUUGGGCCAGGUAUGAGUAUUUGUGCUUAUGCGCCGGUUAUUAUAUGUAUGUGGUUCGGGAACUAAAGGAUCACAGUUAGCAAUGUGGGAUUCGUGAUUCUGUUUUUUUUUGUGGGAACCUCAGAUUAUAUGAAGAUGAGUAGCUAGUUGGGAGUUAAGUCUAGUGUAUUCGACAAUCAUCUAGUGUGGGCAGUCUGUUAAGGAGCCAGACCAUCUCGAGACUUCAGUUUACGAAUUAAGUAAAUGUAAUCAUAUUGCAAGGUAUUCGUUUAUUUUCAGGUUUUGGAACCCUGCAAGGGUUUGUUACUAUUUCCUUGGAAAGGCUAGGGUUAUACCCGGGGUUGUGGUUCAAGUUGUUUGGAGUGUAAGGAAUGAGAAGAAACGAUUUCGAGGACGAAAUCAAAUUUAAGUAGGGGAGAGUUGUAACAUCCCAUUUAAAUAUAAUAAUUUAAUAAUAAACCCGGAACCCCGAGAAGCGAUUUUUAUUAUUAUCAUAUGAUAUUAUAGUCCAAAAUCUGAUAAUAAUUAUAUGGGAGUCGUUUUCGGGAAGCCAAAUGACAGGAUUUGAAUCUCCAGGGGCUAAAGUAUAAUUUUGGGAAUUAAUUUGUAAAUAUUUAUGUAAGCGGGGACUAAAUGGUAAGUUUUGGACCAAACUUGAAAAGGGAUUUGCAUAGGAAGGGCCAUUUGGUAACAAUUGGAUCAAAUUUGAAGGAAAAACAAGAUGGAGGGGCUGGUUCUGUCGUUAUGGGAAAAUGUUAUAAGGGAGUCAGGGUAUAAAACCUGCUACCCUCUCAAACCCUAACCCUAGAUCGGAUAUGAUGCAGCCGUCACCACCCUCUCCACCCUUGUUUCCCCCCAGCCGCCAUUACCCUCUUCUUCCUCCUUCUCCAACUCCGGUGCUGCACCACCACCUAUUGCUCUUGUGUUUCCGACCAACAAAGCCAACCAAUGCUGCCCGUAGCUGCUUGUGAUGUCAUCAGUGCUUUUCUAGCGGCCCCUAUCGACGACUCCCUUCUAGCAGGUGGUUGCCUCCGCUAUGCCGAACCGCCGCCACUUGUAGCGCCAUUGUUGCCGCCAUGGUUGCCGAUAACGAAGCUGUCGACGACAAGAUCGAUAGCCGCCAAGUCGAUGACCAUUGAAGGAUGUUGUGGCCACUGCUGUGAUGGGUACAAAAACCUCCCUACCGUGAAUGACAUUCUCUCUAACUCUCUCUCCGUUCCGUUCGGGCCGCUGCUAGCGGUGGUUGCCGCCGAUAAUGGAGCUGCUGUCAGACUUCUCGUGUCACCGCCGCCAAGUGGGUGGCUGGGCUUAUCUCGCGAUCAGAAUAGUGUGUUUUGUGUAUGUGUCCUUUGUGUGAUUGCCUUGGCCGGAGUUACAAGAGGGCCACCACCACCACCGUGAGGUGGUGGCUGCCACUCUCUACCACCGUUUGCUGCCACAAGGUGGUGGUGGGUGUAGUUAUGGGAAGUUUAUUUUUGGUUAUUGUGUGUAUUAUUGUAAUUGGUGCUUGAAAUAAUAAUAGAAAAAUCCAUAACCACCACCGUGAGGUGGUGGCUGCCGCUUCCUGUCGCCACCGGCCGCCGUGUCGGGUGGCAAUGUGCUUUGCCUUGUUGUGUUGAUUCGUUUGGGAUGCAUGAAACCCUAGUGGGCCCAAUCGAGCCCUAAUGGGCCCAAAGAAACCCUAAUUGACCUAAUAAAACCUUAAUGGGCCCAAUGAGGCCCAAAUUAACCUAAAAGCCCAACCAUUUGAUUAAUGGGCUAAUAUUGGGAUGGAAAUUGAUCGGGACACACACGAGAAUUAUUUAAUAACUUGAGAUAUUAAAUAAUAAUCAUUGGAAAGUUAAUCUAUGGCAAUAUUGGAUUAAGUCCUUAAUGGUUUAAUUAAGAAACACUUAACCCUAAUCAUCAUUUCAUAUGAAAACCCUAAUUUUGGGAUUAUGUGCUUGGACUUAUCGGGACCCACAUUUGGGCGAUUGGAAAGGAAUUAUGUGUUAAGCCCAAUCACACCAUAUGACUUAUUUAGUGAAGUGAGGGACUUAAUGGAUUAAGUCCUUAAUGGGUUAAGUGAGAAACACUUAACCCUAGUUGUCAUUUUAUGUGAAACCCUAAUUUCACUUGGGCCUUGAGUUAGGCCUUCCUAUAGGGUUUUGGUGGUUAGACUAUUGAUGCACCAUCCAAGAACAAGUUAAUGGACCAAAGUAAUUAGAUGGGAUUGAGCAUAAGGCCCAUGUGAGGACUUGGGCCCAAUAUGGAAGAUUGGGCCAUAUGUUGGGCCUUGGCCCAUUACUUGACCUUUGGGCUUUUGUAGUGUGAGUUAGACUUUGAGCUUGGAACCCAAUUACUAAUUGGGUAUUCUUUGAUGUUGAAAGUUCAGGAAUCUGUCAAUCAGCAGCUGGAGCGUACCUGCGGGACUUCAGUAGUGCCAGGUGAGUUCUCCUCACUAUAUCAACAGGGUCUAAGGCACCAAGGUUGGCCCUUUAUGGAUUGUAUUCGGAUUAUUGCAUGUUAUGCUUACAGAUUUAUAUCCUGGUAGUUAGGAUGGUGAUAUGCUAUGGUUUAGUGCCAGGUGAGUUCUCCUCACUAUAUCAACAGGGUCUAAGGCACCAAGGUUGGCCCUUUAUGGAUUGUAUUCGGAUUAUUGCAUGUUAUGCUUACUGAUUUAUAUCCUGGUAGUUAGGACGGUGAUAUGUUAUGCUUUAGUAACCUGUACGUCGAUAUCCUAGUUAUGGGAUUGUUGCUAUGCUUUGUGAUCUGUUAGAUCGGUUUGACUGCUAUAUAUAUAUAUAUAUAUAUAUAUACAUGCCAGUCUUAUAUGAUGUCUAUGUGCACAUGAUUUUCCUGGUUAUAGGAUGAUGUUAUGUUAUUGACCGGUUAGGUCUGUAAUCCUGAUUAUUGGGAUGUUGCUAUGAAUUGUGAUCUGUUAGGUUGGUUUGACUGCUAUAUGAAAUGAGCUAGCGUAUGAUAUUUAUGUGCACAUGUUUGUUUGAUUGAGUGUUGGGUUGAUGCGGUCUUGCUUUGUGUUGUAGGCCAACAUACCCGGCGAGCGGUACGGAUAGGCUGUAGGCCCUGCGUGGCGGUCCAGACGUGCUGAAGGCUCGAAGAGCAGUCCAGAUAGAUUGAAGGCCUGUGAGGCGGUCCAGUCAGGCUGAUGACUCAUUAUGUAUGUUGUUUUGUAGUGGUUAUACGAUAUGGUUAUGUUUGUAUGGCAUUGGUAUUUUGGGAAAACUCACUAAGCUUCGGGCUUACAGUUGUUGAUUUUGUUUCAGGCACUUCAGAUGAUUGCGGGAAGGCGAAGGCGUGAUCAUGCACCUCCUCAUAUUUUUAUGAUUGAUUCUGGGAAUACUCUAAUGUCUAAACUAUUUUGAAAACAACCUGUAAUAACUUAAUGGUUUUAAAAUGUGUUAAAAAGUUUAAAUUUGGCUUGAAUUUUAUGGGUGUUAUAUAGAGACGAAUUUCAGAAGAAGAAGAAGAAGAGAUCUGGAAUUGGCUUUCAACACCAAGGGAGAAAGAAGAGUUCAUACUUAGCUAGAUAGUUUGGUACUUUUACUAUGUUUUUGAAUAUGAAGUAUUUGUGUUUGUUUGAUAGUAUGUCCAGCUUAAUCUAGCUGCUUCUGUUAGCCAGAUGAAGCUGGAACUCAUGGUUUUAAUACAAUAGAUUUGACUUUGCUUGUUGGUUAUGACUUCUGUUGAUUGAUUUUAUCUAACAUGUUAGAUUUGAUAUUUAAUUGCUUGAUUUCUUAUUCUGUGUAGUUAAUGACCAUUAAUCUGCUUGAAUUAGAAUACCUGGUAAUUUAGUGAACAUUAGAUUAUUAGAGCUAGGAUCAAACCAAUCCUAGAUAAGUAAUUAAUUAUUGAAUUAGGCUAUGCUAGAGAACUCAAAUUAUGAAUAUAAUUGUGUUUUGCAAAUCAAUCUUACAUAGCUCCAAUCCAUUAAAUAAUUGAUUAUGUGUUAACUUAAGUGUGAACAUACUUUGAUCUACAUGAAUUAGCUGAAUAUUAGUAAAUUUGGAAUUGAAUUGCUAAUACCUUAUUAAUUGGUAACCAACAGUAAUUUGUCAUAGCUAAUUUAUAAACCAAUGAGGGAAAGUGGAUUCGAACUAACAGAAGUGUUUGUUAAUUGAUUGAAUUUUGAGUUGAGAAUUAAGUUCAUCAAAACUUGCAAAAUUGGAUAAAACCCACAAUUUUGCUAGAAAAUUAGGUUAACUUAAUACUAAGUAGAUUAAUUAAUCAAAACCUUUCUCGGGUGAUCGACACCCAACUUACCCGACUAUUUUAUAAUUUGACUAGGUACACUGCCUAGGUGCAAUUUAGUUAGUUAAGUUAGUUAGGUUAUAAAUAUAAAAUUAGGUGUAUCUAUUUUCACGCCUCAAGUUUUUGGCGCCGUUGCCGGGGAAACUGCUUAUUUGAUUGUUGAUUUAUUUGCUUUAGGUUGAUCGAUCCUUUUUGUGGGGUAAAACCUGCAAAAAGUUACCUUUUAUAGCUUUGGUUUUUGUUUUGGUACUAGAUUCACGACAUGAGUCUUAAGCUCACGACGUGAGUUCAGUAGUUUUAUGUUAUUCUUCAUUUUUCUUUUCUGUUAGUUUUUCUGCGAAAACACGAGGUGGUGACCCUUACCACGUCGUGGAGGCCAGUGAGUAGGCAGAUUUUUUUUUAGUUUUUGUUCAGUUUUACAUUUUUAUUUUUGUUUAUUUGCAGAAGUUAAUGACCAGAGAUUCCAACAAACCUUUGGUGCCACCACUUGAAGAUCUAGAGUCUACCCUUCACUAGAAUACUGAUAAGAACGUGAAAGAAGAUCAAACACCAAAGAAGUCGUUCUUCAAAGAUCUCAAAUCGGUCUUUUCAAAGAAGUCAGAAAAGAAAAUUGGAGAGUCGAAUUCAUCUUCAAAGGACAAGAGCAAGGUUGACGGUUUCAAUCAAUUACCUAUCCCAAACGAAUCCAAAUAUGAAUCUGAGGCCGAGUUUGGACUAUAUACAAGUGAACCUGAGAACGAGCCAGAAAACGAGAUGGUGAAUAUUAAAAGAUGUCCAUGGGAGCUUACAAGAAGCGAAUUAAAGACGAUGUUGGUCCAUGGUUAGUACAACCUACAAUUUUGGCCAUUGCCACAUUCGAGCUAAAGGGACACAUCCUUACUGCACUUAAGGAUAUUCCAUUUUACGGAAAGGAUCAUGAGGAUGCUUUCAAGCAUCUAGAUGAGGUCAAUGACAUUGCAGACUAUUUCAAUCUCCCUAAUGUUCCUAGAGAGACAGCUUUGUUGAGGAUGCUACCAAUCACUUUUAAAGGAGCUGCAUAAGAUUAGCUGAAGGCACUACCACCUGGUGCAAUCACUAGUUGGGCCCAAAUGCGUGAGCAGUUUCUUGAACAAUUUUGCCCACCAUCCAAGAUAGCUAAAGUCAAGAAGGCAAUAGCCAAUUUUGAGAAACAACCAGGUGAGUAACUAUACAAAGCAUGGGAGCGCCACAAAGGAUUACUAAGGAAUUGUCCUCCACAUGACCUUAAUAUUCAACAAGAGAUGUCUAUAUUCUAUGAUGGGAUCAAUGUCAUGACGAGGCAAAUUAUUGAUUCGCAAGGACCUCUUACGAAGAAGAAUCUAAAUCAGAUCAAGGUGUUGAUGGAAGAAUUCACGAAGCAUUCUCGUAAGUACCACAACCAAAGACACGAUGGAGUAAAAGGCAGUGGGGGUGCACAUUCUAAAGAGAUGGCUACUAUGAUGGAAAUGCUCAAUAAUAUGGACCGGUGGUUGACCCAGAUGGACCAAUCAAUUCAUGCAAUUAGAGUUGGUUGUGAGAGAUGCAGUAGGCCACACUUGACCAAGGACUUCCACUUGGAUUAAUAUGGGAAGAAGAAGGCUCAAGUUUGCUACUCAAGUGGGGAUAAGUAUGAUGAAGACUGGAGAAAACCAAAGAGGGAGUUGCUGUCAUAUGAUGAAUACAAGAAGCAGAAGGAGGAGAAAUACAGGCAGACUGGCCGAGGUUUGUACCAAAAAGAGCAACCACCAGCUGAGAAGAAAGUUGACUUGGAAACCAUGUUGGUUCCUGUCAUGGAAGCUUCAGAGAAAAGACAUGAUGAUACUGAUGCAUCACUGAAGGAUCAAAUAAUAAUGAUGAAGGAAUAGCAAUCUAUGAUGAAGAAUCAUCAGGCAAUGAUGAUUAACCAGCGAACAUCAUUAAGAAAUCAGCAAUCAUCAAUCCACAAUCUCAAAGCUCAACUUGGUCAACUAACCACUUUGGUGAAUGAGAAACUAUCUCAACAAUUUCUAGAAAAGAAGACUCAAUGCCAUGUUAUGGUAACUUAAUACUAAAGAAGUGGCAAUCUAUAAGUUCUUAGAAGCACUAGAAGUAGAACCGAAGUAGUCCGAUCCAAAGCUGAAGAAGCGAAAGCUUGAAAAUAAAAAUGUUGUUGAAUCACUGAACUCACGACGUGGGCCCGGUCUGAACAGAAGACUUCAGAAUUCGUUCCGGCUUAUUGUCCGCCUUUACCGCUUCCAUUUCGAGCUUAUCUUAGUUCACUGGAAAGGGAGCAUCUGGAGUUUGUUAAUCAAGAAAAGGGUAUUCCUAUUAAUACUCCUUUUAUCAAGUCAUUAUCAAAAACUCCCGAAUAUGCGAAGUUUUUACAAGAUUUGAUGGAUACUCGUCAAUAGUUGAAGAAGACUUCCAAGGUUAUUCUUAGUGAGCAAAGCUCAAAAGUUGUAUUGGGGGAGAUACCUAAGAAGAUGGGAGAUCCUGGACGCCUCACUCUCCCAUGUGAGUUUGGAAACAAUUUGAAGACUUAUGCUUUAGCUGAUUCUAGGGCUAGCAUAAAUUUGAUGCCAUAUUCAUUUUAUUAGAAGUUAAAUAUUUAGAAGAUGAAGGAUACAAAGAUGACCAUUCACAUGGCCAAUCGUUCAGUGACUCAUCCUAGGGGGAUUGUAGAAGACAUUCUGGUGAAAAUUGGGAAAUUUGUUUUUCCACUUGAUUUUGUGGUUAUGGAUAUGAAAGAGGAUGUCAAUGUCCCAAUCAUUCUUGGUCACCCAUUACUUAAUACUGCUAGAGCUUUGGUUGAUGUUCGUGAAUCCAAACUUACUUUGAGAGUUGGUGAUGAAGAGGAAACUUUUGGAGUACAAGAUGGUUUCAAAGGAAGUAAUGUUCAAGGUGAGGUCUUCAACAUUGAUGAAGAGAAUGAACUUAAAGAAUUAGAGAAGCUCAUGGAGGAAGAAAUCAAGACAAUUCUACAAGUUAAAAGCACCAAACCAAGAGCAUCUAUUCCACUUGUUUUUGAAAUGUUUGCUUAUAAAAAACCAACAUCUUUGGUGAGUGAGGAAACGAUGAUUUAUCAAGUGAUGAAGACGAGGUUACUUCUAAGGAGACGAGUCUGAUGGUGAAAGAAGAGAAGAUUUCUAUGGAGCUUAAAGAGAAUGAAGAAAAACUGGAGACUAAAGGGAUAAAAAGAAAGCUUGAUGUGGAUGAUGUGAAAGCUAAAAAGGAGAAUUCGAAAAAGGCGUAUAUUAGACGUUUCCAAGCUUACAAGAGGUGAUGGAAAGAGUAGAGGUUCAGGUGGUUAUGGACUCUUCUGUUAGCUCAACGUAGGGAGGCACGAAGUCUGGAUCAUGACUCCAUCAAAAACAAGCGCUUCUUGGGAGGCAGCCCGAGCUCGGUUUGAAUUUUCUUUUCAUUUUAGUUUUUAGGAAAAUCAAUCGUAUCAUCUAAAUCAUUUUAUGCAUAAUAAAACACUAAGCGAGGGGUCCCUAAUUUAAGUGGUAAUUAAUUAAGAUAUGUAGUCAAUAAAAAUUAAAUUAAUUUGCCUAGACAGACUUCACGACAUGAGUCCAUACGCUGCAUGACAUGAAUCCAAGAGGAAUUAUGAACUACUUAUCUGUUAGCCCAACACAUGUCCCAACCCAGUCGUUACUUAAUUGAAUGGCCCAUCCGCACAACGUAAGACAUCUCACGACGUGAAUAUUCACAACGUGAAUUUUAAAAAGAACACGGGACCACAGAUAAGGACCAAAUUCCAUUUGACUUAACUCACUUCUGCAUUCCCACGAAAUGAAGGUGUUCUCUCCUAGUUCCCCCAUUCCGAUUUCGGCCAUAUUACACUCAAUUUUCAACUUUUGCUUACGUAACUCUCAUUCUAAGGUAUUAAUUUCUUAAUUUUAUUAGUUAAUUUUGCUUUAAUAGUUGACUUAUGGGCUAGGGUUUUGUGUUUAGUAAAUCAUAGAAACGUGCCCUAAAAUUCAUGUUUUAGCCAUUGUAUGUGACUGGAAUGUGUUUAGACUUGUUCUAGUAAUAAAACCCAACCAUUAUAUUGGCCUGAUUCGAACACUGCCAUGACCGAUACUGCCUUUCGCUGACAAACUCACGACGUGAAUCUUAAUGAUUCACGACAUGAAUCCUGGGCACCAUCGGACUAGUUUCUGUUGAAUUCUAAUUUGUUGAAUCUUUCUUGUUUGGUUUUUGUUGUUUCUUGUUUUUCAAAAAUGCCUCCUAGAUGUGAGGUUCCAACAGGGGUAGCUAGUUUGCACCCGUUUUAUGUUUUCCCAACAAACUUGUCACGAGAUGUUCUUACACGUUGCAAAAACUGUUUGGGGUGGUUGUAUAACUGGGAAAUCGGCGUCGCACCCACUGUUAAUUGGUCAAGAUUGAGGGAGGUCGGCAUUGUCAAUCGGUUGUCCCCGUUUCUUAAGAAAUUCUUUGUGGGAAACAAAUUCUCUUUUACAUGCAAAGGGUGCACAAUUUGUUUACUAUCAAGGAAAGGGUUCAUAAGGAGCUUUGUGUGGAGUUUUUCUCAACUGUGGCAUUUCAAGAAAAUGUCCAAGAUCCUACCUACCAACAAGCCUUAGUUUUCCGUUUAGGCGGAGAAUACCGGGAAUGUAGUUUAGUUGAGUUCUCUUGGAGAAUGGCGUUGUAUGAGGCCCAAGAAUCCAUCACUCCCGAGUUUGUGAUGUUUUUGAGGGAGGCUACCCGAGGUUACGAGGGUGGAUCAUCGGGGAUCGAGUUUUAGAGUAAAAUCGCAUAUGGAGUGUUCAAUUUCGGGGUGUCACAGGAAAGCAACAUCAAAUCACUAAUUCACCGCCUUAUCCACGGACUCAUCACAUUUUCUAUCCACCACAAACGACAUGGGGACAAGGUUACCAAGAUGAACUUGCUCUUUUUAGGGUCCAUUUUACAGUCGGGAGUGUGUUGCAACAUCCCGUACUUUUUGGCCCGCUAUUUGGCAUAUUAUGCCAUGAGUUCCCGCCCUGGGAGCCCUAUUUUUGGAAGCCAUUUUAUCACCCUUUUGGCCCGGUCUUACGGUGUGAUAAUUCUUGACAUCACAAGGUCCUUGACUUGUAAGGAAGGGAAUGAAUUUACUUUGGGUUAUUUGGAAACUAUGAGGUUGGUAAGGAAUUCUGGGUCACAUUAGGGGAUUGCGCAUUCUGAAGAUGACGGUGAUGAGCAACCGAGUGACAAACUUGAGCAAUAGCCGCAACCAAGAUCUCGUCGAUGAAAUGUGCGAGCACGUGGAGAUACGGGACGAUUUCAAAGGUUUGAAAGACGAAUUGCCAACGACCCAUCUUAAAGUUUGGUGGGUACAUAUUUAGACAACCUUCGUGGGGGUGUUACAUAUAAUAUGCAACUUAUCGAGGGUAUCUAUUCCCACAUGGGUGUGAUUCGACCCCCUACCGUGCCACCACAUUGCUUGUAUAUCCCGACGUGGGAAGAACUAUAGAUGAAGUCGGAACUCAUGGUUUUAAUACAUUAGAUUUGACUUUUCUUGUUGGUUAUGACUUGUGUUGAUUGAUUUUACCUAGCAUGUUUGAUUUGAUAUUUGAUUGCUUGAUUUCUUAUUUUGUGUAGUUGAUGACCAUUAAUCUGCAUGAAUUAGAAUACCUGGUAAUUUAGUGAACAUUAGAUUAUUAGAGCUAGGAUCAAACCAAUCCUAGAUAAGUAAUUAAUUAUUGAAUUAGGUUGUUCUAGAGAACUCAAAUUAUGAAUAUAAUUGUGUUUUGCAAAUCAAUCUUACAUAGCUCCAAUCCAGUAAAUAAUUGAUUAUGUGUUAACUUAAGUGUGAACAUACUUUGAUCUACCUGAAUUGAUUGAAUAUUAGUAAAUUUGGAAUUGAAUUGCUAAUACCUUAUUAAUUGGUAACCAACAGUAAUUAGUCAUUGUUAAUUUAUAAACCAAUGAGGGAAAGUGGAUUCGAACUAACAGAAGUGUUUGUUAAUUGAUUGAAUUUUGAGUUAAGAAUUAAGUUCAUCUAAACUUGCAAAAUUUGAUAAAACCCACAACUUUGCUAGAAAAUUAGGUUAACUUAAUAGUAGGUAGAUUAAUUAAUCAAAACCUUUCUCAGGUGAUCGACAUCCGACUUACUCGACUAUUCUAUAAUUUGACUAGGUACACUUCCUAGUUGCAAUUUAGUUAGCUAGGUUAUAAAUAUAAAAUUAGGUGUAGCUAUUUGCACGCAUCAGGAAGCGGCCUGUAAAAGGACCGCCAUUAGGUAUCCACUCUUACCCGCCGCACCCUUGACCAGUGGAGGGUCGUUAGCCAAACGAGUUUGAUUGGACAUUAAAUCUCAUUAAUAAGUAUAAUGAAAAUACAAAGUAACUAAAUGCUUUUAUAAAUUCCCAACUUUAAGGAAAAUGUGAAUUGAUGUUAAUCAAUGAAAUUGCACAUUGCACCUUAUUAGUCUUUAGUGGAGCGUGCGUGGUUAACUGGCAUACUAAUAUGGGGCUAAUGAAGGUUGGAAAUGGGUAGCUCGUAAAUUAUCAUUGAUUGAUGGAGCAUGGGUGGUUAACCGGCACAUUGAUUAGAUGAUAAAUGACAUCAAGAGUACCAAGCUAAUUUGCAUGGUUAUUCUCACCUUGUUUGUGAUCCUCGGUAUCCCAAUCACAAACUUGAAGGGCAUAAUCGAGAUUAAACAUGAUAUUGAAAAGUUCAAUGAAUCUCAAAAGAUAUAGAAAUUUCAACUAAAACCUAAUUCAUUAAAAUUUUGUUUUCGUGGUGGAAUUGGUAAAUCGUCAUUUACCUACCUUCAAACAAUUUGCAAUUAGAUUACUGAAUCCCUCUUUCAAAUUGUGAAUUAUUGUGUUGGGUCCUAGCCUUAAUAUUUCAUAUGGGUGUUAUAUUAAGGAUUAAAUCAACUAACUUGAAUUUUUUUCCCUCUGUAGAUGUCUAGAUCUGACAACUAUAAUCUUCCUUAUCCUUUUGGUAAAAUCUUUCCUCAUGAAGAUGACAUUCCACGUGUCGAUCAAGGUGAAAGAUCAAUCCCUUCUUCAUGCAUUGGUGGAACUGGAAAUCAUAUUUUUCUUCCUCCACCUCUUUCCGUUAUUCUCCCCGAUCCACGUUUUCGUCGACUUGAAAAAUUCAAAGUCACUCAAGCCCUAUUGGCAUGCAAACAUCAAGAUGGAAGUCUUGUGUGUGCACACGUUCUCAAGAUGAAGCUACACAUUGAUAGACUAGGAAUGUUGGGUGUCGUUUUUCGGAGGAAUUUGGCUGUUAACUUGGUUCUUCAAUCGUUUCCCGAGUCAUAUAGUGAGUUCCUAAAAGAUUACCAUAUGACAGACCAUGACGUGAGCCUUAUCGAUCUGACAUAUUUUCUAAUUAUUGUUGAAUCAACAAUGAUUUGGCACACUGGUAAACUAAAGUUGAUUGGAAGAUCUACCUCCCAAAUUACCAUGGACAUAGGCAAUGACAACUGUGAUAGUCCAGAAAUGAUUUCUUUUCCUAAGAGAGAGAAAUUGGCCAAAGUCAAAAAGUUUGAACUUAAGAGAAAGGCCAGAUCUAAGAUAGCUCCACGAGUCACUCCUGAAGAGUCCAUUUGUUUCUAUUUCCAUUUGAAGGGAUACGGGAAGCGAAGUUGCCCUGACUACCUGAGAGAUCUAAGAGAUGGUAAAGUUAAAUUGUAUGACUCUAUUUUAGGUACAUUCACUAUCUAACUCUACUAAGUUCAUGUUUAAAUAUUCUUAUUACAUGAUGUAAAGUUACAUUUUGAUGUUUUGUAGAAUCAAAGAGAAAGAAGGAAGCUUAAAGGAAAAUUAAGUUGAGUCUGAUCAUCAAGAAGUGGCUUCCGAUCGCAUAGUUCGAUGACCAGAUUUUUGAGUUGCUGCUGGGAGUUAUGAUAGAUUGCUUCGAAAUAUUUAUAAACAUAGUUUUCAUGUGUAUUAGCAUUGUAAGGACAAGUUUUCUGCAUAUUAUCAAUAAAAUGAAUUUUUUGCUUUAUUUUAUAUUUCGUUGCAAUGGCAUUUAUGGAAAAUUGGUGUUUAUAUAUAUAUAUAUAUAUAUAUAUAUAUAUAUAUAUAUUUUUAACAAUAUUGAAAAUGGAUUUGAUUCUUAGUUAUAUCGUAUUGUGGUAAUGUCAUAAUUUACCAAGUGAGGAAGGAUUCUCAUCAGCCAAGUUUCAAUUGGAUAGAAACUUGGAAUCAUAUGAUUUGAGUUAUCUAAUGUAUGAGAAUCUUGCUCCUUGGGAAAUUCGGUCUAAUUCCUUGUUUGCAUAUGUAUGUGAGUUAAGUGAAUGACUGAUGGAUCUAGUACACAUUGAUGUCAACUGGUCAGAUCCACCUCAAAGGACAAUAAUUCUAUUCGUCAUGAUUUACUGAUAGUUCAGUAAAUAUGGUUAUGCUUACAAGUUUAAGUGUAAUUCUGAUACAUUGAAAAGUUUCAAUAUAUAGCAGAACAAAUAAGAAGAAUCAAUUGGGCGGAAAGAUAAAAGUUUCUCCAAUCUAAAUGGAAAAGAGAGUACUUUUGUAUCGUGUUUUAUGAUCAUCCUAAUGAUUGUGAAACCAUGUCACAAUUGAUCCUCUAAGAGCACCUUAGUGCACUUGUAUGACUAAGAAGAGGAAUCGGGAAUUGUUGAAAUGGUUAAAUCAAAAAGAUGAGUCAUACUUCAUUCCAAAACAAGUUUUAAAGUUAUACUCUAGUUACUUCAAGUUAUACCUUGAGUGACAUAUCCUAAGAAGGGUUAUAACGCCUCAUGAAAUGUGGAGUGGAAAUGUUUCUUACUGUUGCACAUUUGGAAUUGGUAGUUGUGAUGUUUUGGAUAAAGCAAAGACCAAGUAAGACCAAUUAUAUAGAGUGUUUCUUGAUAAGAACCCGGACUAACUCUUGAAUAUUUGUUUGCCAAGGAAUGUUCUUUAAAAGAGAAUCUUAUAUGUCAAGAGGUCACUGAGAGUCUUAAUAGUCUUUAAUAUUUUCGGGAACUAAUCAAGUAUAAACUUUUAUUUAUCACUAGCACACGACCUGAGGUUGAUAACCUAUCGUGUUGACAUAUUCUUCUUUCUAUGCUAUUCCAGAUAAGUUGACUAUACAUAUGAGUUCUUAUUUGAUUGCAUAAGGCAAAGCACCUUGAUCAGUGAAGCUACAUUGAGUUGUUUGGGUGAGAUGCUCAAUAACUUGGAAGCACUGGUAGGCCCUUAUGCUAUCGGAUGGCAAGAAAUUAAGACUAAGCAAGUUCAGUCCAUAUGAGAGCUUGAAUUUGUCAUAAACCUUGUCUUAUGACAGUGAUUGGAAAGGAAAAUUUUGCAUGGAUAGGAACACAUGCACCUUAAAAUCUAAGUGGUAAGAUAUUUCUCUAUACUUCAUGAAAAUGAGUGUGUGGAAAUGCUUUCACUAGUAGAUUUUGAAGAAUUAAACUCAACAGUUAUGUUGAUCGCGUUCUCAAAUUCGAGUAUGAUUAUGACUUCCCUUUUCAUAGUUUGAAUUGUGAGAAAUGGCAAUUAAAGCACCACGUAUCAGAAAGCCGAACUUUGGUAAGAGAGUUAAUAUGUAUUGAUUUCUAUAAGUCCAACUGAUUUCUGGGUGCAUGUCAAAGCUUGUGGGAGCACAAGUGUUGUGCUAAUAAAAGCAUAAUUGUUAUAAUUGUUAUGCUAACAAAAGUAUAAUUGUUAUGAUAGUGGGAGCAUAAUUAUUGUACAAAGUGUUGCAAGUGGGGCAAUACUAUUUAUAGGAAACAAAGGUUACAAAUUUGCAAAGUGAAAAUUUUGAAAAGUUGUUUCGCUAUAGUAAGGCUUAUGGGAGAGGGAACUUAUACUUCAUUUCGAAUCUAAAAGGUUAGAUUGAAGUUUUAAUAGAACUUAGUCGUGAACAUGUAUGAAUGUCAUGUUGAAAUGAUUCACCAUUGGAAAUUCUAUAUAUGGAGAUAUUAUAGCAAAUUACUAAUAAAGUAUUGUGUCUUUAUGUAAGACAUUAUGUAUCGAAUCCCAUAUGCUUCAGAUAUAGGAUUGAUCACAUGUGCUAUAACAUUCGCGUGUUCUAAUUUUUUUGAAAUGACUAGUGCAUUAAAAGGAUAAAAUGACUAGAAUAAAGUAUGAUUGAAGUUAUUAAACAACUGUCAAGGACACUUUGAGGUUUAACCAAAAGAUUGGUUGUAUGUGGGUAAUUGGAAGUAUAGUAACUACAUUGACAAUUUGUCAAUGAAUCUAGGGUAGAAACAGGUUAAGUAAAGUUGAAAAGUUAUGAAUAGAACUAUGGGUGAGCAUUUCCUUUCCAAAAAUAAGAUAACCUCAUGAAUAAAGUAUUCUGACGUUGGUUUAUAUACAUUCUCAAAACGUAUGAACUAAAGACCAUUUCAUGAAGUCUCACAAACCCACAACUCUCACUUAAAGUCAAUGCCAUUUUCAUGGCUUUGUUGAGCCUUUCUUGAAGCAAGAAAAAUAAUUUGAAAAAGUUUUAUGUUUGGAAUAUUAAAAUUGACCAUUUUUCCCUUUGUGAGAAUUUAAAAGAAAUUCAUUGUUUUGUGGAUCAUAAAACAAAAAGAUUUUUAUUCUCCGGUUUUCGACAUUGUAUUUGUUAAUUUUCAAUUUUGUUUCCUUUGCAUGCAUAUUGUUCCUAGAGUUUUCAGUAUUUGUUCUUUGAUCAUUAAUCGUUUUUGUUUCUAAAAACUUAUUCCAUGCCUUUUCUUUUCUUUUCCUCCUUUAGGAUAAGGAAGGGGUAAAAUUUGGGUGAUUUGAUAGGUGCAUUAUCUUUCACCUUUUCUGAGUUUAUGUUAUACCUAUUUAGUUUAGUUUUCACUUGCUUUUUGCAUAUUGGGACGGAACUCGGAAUUUGCUACUUUCACACUUUUGUUGUGUUUUAGGUUGAUUAGAAGGCUAAAUAUCAUAAAGGAGGUGUUUAGAAGUUAUGGUGAAAGUUGUAAAUUGUACGAAAGCAUGGUGAGUUGAAUUGGGCUAGGCAAUGCAUAAGAAAUGGGCUGGAAUGGAGUGAAGUGAAGCCUAAAGAAGACAUGCGCUAAACUAUUGGGUUUGUACUUGAAGAUUUAGGCUAAGAAUAUAUGUCCAACCUGCACACAAGUUACUCAUAUAAGGCGUGAAAUAUUCACAUACAUGAUCACACAUGAAUAGCUGGAAUCAAAUAUUCCAUACUUAGUGAAUGAUUGAAUAACUUUCCAGCUUGAAAAGGCAAAGAAGAUGAUUAUCUAUAGGGGCGUUUUCGUAACUUUCGUAUUUCUGGUAUUUUUGGCAUAUAAAUACCAUUUGAGAGUUAGAGAGAAGACACAAUUCAUUUUCCAAGGAAACCCCUGGAGGUCAUACUCUCCUACCAUUGAAGACCACUUGAAGAAUACUCUCCAAAGUUUGCAUUUACAAUAUUGGUAAAACUGAUGAACAACUAGUCUUGUUUUGAAUGUUUAUGAGUUUCUUAUCUAUUUCCAUGAAUAUAAUUUCUAAUUGUUCUUGUGUUUUUUAUCAUGAGCUUAAAUACACGAAUGGUUUAGUUAGUCAUUUUCUUUAUUACGUAAUAGAUAUUCAAAACGACAAGUAACAAAUGUUUCUUUAUGUUUGUUUUCAUUUCAUCUUAAAUUAUGAAAUUGUGUUCUUCAUCAUGGCAAUGAAAGCAAUAGAUUACCUCUUGGAUUUAAUGAUUCUUUAAAAUAUAAUGCUAAUCAAUAUUUGUGUAUCAAUUGCAUAUAUUGAUCGAUGACCAUGAUUAAGGGGAAUUGUUAUGAACUUUUCUAACUUUCCUAAAAACUAUGAAGAAUCAAUGUAACUUUGGCUUCCCUAGUUACUAUAGUCAAGUUGGAAUGAAUUAUAAACAUUGCACCAUAAACCAUAAUAAUAAACUAACUAGUCCGAAUUGAGACAAUAUCCCAAUAUUGAUUAUUUCUCUAAUAUCAUUUUAUCUUAAUCUUUGUUAUUAUUUUUAUGUCAUUUUAUAAUAAUCAAAUCCCCCUCUGUUUAUGUACUAUAGAUACCUUAGGAAAAGAGGUAUUGGUAUAAAUUAUUUUUCGUGUCUAGUAGGAUCGAUCCUUGCUUACCUUGUAUUAAUAUUUAGUGCAAAAUAGCAUUGAAUAAAUCUUGGAGUAUUACAUAUAUAUAAAAUUGUAUAUUCCAUUAUUUGUUGUUUCCUUUUUCACCUGAUACAUGAUACAUCAUAUGUGCUUUAACCUAUUUAGACCAAAAAAUAACAUUGUCUAAUAUAAUAUCUUAAUUAAUUUUGGGCCCCAGAUUUCCAUGUUAUAGGCGUAUGUUGAACACCUAUUGGACACAUGUUGAAUACCAACUUUUCUUUCUCACAUGAUACAUCAUAUGUUCUUCAACCUAUUUGGGCCAAAAAAAUAACAUUGUCUAAUAUACUAUCUUAAUUAAUUUCGGUCCCUAGAUUUACGUGUUCAUAGGAACUUAAACACCCUUUUGAUAGGCCCUAAAGUUAAUAUGGCCAUGUGACUAUUCUUAUGAUCUGUUGUAUAUGUUCUCACUAUCGUGAUUAAAAAUCAAUUAAACUAAAUCCAUUUUAUAAUUUGUACAUGGAACAUAUAUAAUGGAAUCGACUUAGACAUCAAUUAUGCAUGGAACUAUUUAGAAAAAAUAGCAUUUAGCAGUUAUUUAAAACUAAAUAGAUUCCAAUUCAAACAUUUAGAAAAUCUUAUAAACUUAUAAAUACCCAAAAGCUUCAGCAGUUAUUGUUGGCCCAAUAAAGCUAUUUUCUAGUUUCAUUAACAUCUAAAUUUAAUCCAAUACAUUAAGCCCAAUAAGAGAUCUUUCAAUAUGUUUUCCAAUCUUUGAAAAAUGAAAAUGUGAGCCCAUUACCUCAUUUACCAGACAUUGCUCCACCACACGCCUCCUCCUUUUUCAGGUACACUGCUCCGGCGGCGGCAAUAAAUCGACCACCGUUAUUGUGUGGUUUAACGAAAAAAGACAUGAUCACUCUUCCAAACAAUGCCUCUCGUCGAAGUCUUAUCACAUUCUCAUAAACCACCACAUUUCAUGGUCUUUGCUGGAACUAGGAUUAAACUCUGUCACUUUAACUCAUAUAGUUGGCCAGAGUAAGACGUAAACAAAUCUCCUCAGAAAAUUCUUAUAAGUCAACAAAGUCCAUGCCGGAAAACGGAUCACUAUGCCUAUUCUCGUUAUCGAAACUCCUCCAAACAUUCAUUUCCACUCGUGACUACAAAAAUAAACACCUAUAGGUACGAGUUCUAUAGGGACGACAUUAGUCGUCGCUAUAGGCUUCCUAUAGGGAGGACAUAUCGUCGCUAUAGAGUUGAUCAGUUUUUAUUGACUUUUUAAGAUAUAGGGACGACUUGUUGUCUCAACAUGUUAAGUGGGAAAAAUAAGGGAUUGGUACGUUCUUUAAACAUCUAUAGAGACGACAUAUCACUCUCAUAAAUAACAAAAAUUGAAAAUAACAUAUUUUUUUAAUUGUUUUAACGGAAACAAAGCCUUUGGGGGCAAAUAUAGGGACGACUUGUCAUCCCCAAAGCUUUCUAUGCCCAAAAAAAUAUAUUUUUUUAAUCUAUUUAGUUGGAAAUUUUAAAACAUAUAUAUUUUUAAUCUAUUUAGUUGGAAAAAUUAAAACGAUGUCGAUUGUUUGUGGGUAUAGGGACGAUAGAUCGACCCCAUAGGGUUAUGAUCUUAGGAUCCCUUUCCGUUUGGUCGUCUCCAGUCUCGGAUCUUCUCUAUCGAUUAGCUUGUCUCAGGAUUCGUCCUCCCCCUUUCACCAUUGGUGUUUAACCUAACCCUUUAACACCAGUUGAUUAACGCCUCCAUCUCCAUUUAUCGUUUCAAGGCUCUUAGAACUCAUGCAAAUCUCUAUUUCAGGUUCGAUCAAGCUCAUGCGCAUCUCCAUUUUUCUAUUUUUUUUGUUCCUUCUUAUCCAUCCCUAACUUGUGAUUUUUCUGUGGUUGCACAAUUGCUCUCUCAAGAGGCGAUUUGCUCACAUCAAUUAGCAAAUUUCCAUUACAAUUUCAUGCUCCCCACCAUAGCUUUCCGCGAUUAAAAGGUAUUUUGCUUUCAACAAAAUCUAUAAUCCACUACCCUUGCUACUCUGAUAAUUUGCUUUAAGUUGAAACACGUGUACUUGUUGCCUAGUGUCACAUGUUACAGUAUGGAUUUCCAUCAUGUUUUCCACUAGAUCAGGCAGACUCUACUGAGUCAGUUGCUAAUCAUGAAGCCAAUAUACUCUUCUUGCUAGCCUCCCCCUUACUAUCCUGAUAUUUGACAUUGUUUUGUAUUUUAAGAUUGAAUAGAAUCUUUAUGAUAAUAAGAACAAUACUCCUUUAAGAAGUGAAUACACUCAACCUAGCACACUUGCAUACUCCAUAGAUACCCCCUUCUUGGAAUUCAGAAAAAAUAACAACCAGCUAAACCUUUGCAAAUAGGAGGGUCUCCAUCUAAAUCAGUUCCAUUUCGACCACCGGAAUCAACAACAACUACAUUCACAAAUUUAGAUUCAGGGUUGAUGCUGUGGUUGAGGCAACUAAACCUCCAAUUCUACUCCAGAAUUUUCUUUCUUUCUUUUCUAUUGAGUUUCCAAUUUUUUCCCUUCUUUACCCAUUGACAUAUGAAACAACUUUUCGAUGCCCACUAAAAAUAUGCAAGGGUUGUUUAUUUUUCUCAAGUCAUUAAUGUAUGUGAUGAUUUGCAGAACCCACAAAAGCCACAUAAAAAGCAUUCCCAUUAAGUGAAGGUAGACAUGUAUACAAUUGAAAUCAACUUACAAUUACAUCUUUAGUCCCUGUGCUAUAGCAAUAUUUUCAUAUUUGGUCCAAAGAGGAUUAUUUUUUCCUUUCUCAGGGACAAUUUGGUUGAAGCAGGGUGGUUGAAACACGGACCAAAGGAAAAUAAGAAAGGUUCCUUUUUGGACUAGAUAUAAAAAUAUUGUUAUAGUCCUGGGACCAAAAUGGAUAAAAAAAAUAUUCGUUGUUGAACCAGAUCCAAAAUAUCACUAUAGGACAUGGACAAAAAUGUACUUUUCUUGAUAAUCUAAUGAAUGGUUGAAAUUUGAAACAACUGAGACAAAAUUACUGCAACAUGAAAGUUAUUUAUCUAUUCAUGUCAAUGUUAUAUAAUUCACAUCAAAUUUUCUAUAUUUCCAGCUAUUUGAGACUUAAUUGUAUUCUAUUUAUCAGUUCUUUGUUCAUAAUAGCACCAGAACUUCAAUAUUCUCUUUUGUAGAGCACAAAGGAUUUUAUUACAAGUUUGGUUGAAAUAUGAAAGAAUCGAUAUUUUGUCACAUGUGUUUGUUGACAGAAAUAGAAUGGAAUUUAGUUCCAUUCCUUUGUAUAUUUCUAUUAUUAAAUGAAUAUAAAUGAUAAAUGGAAAAACUACUCGUUUUUGUAGAACACAAAAUGGAAUUCAGGUUUUAAAUAUUAUAAAAAUGAUAAUUACGCUUUGAAAAAAUAUGUAUUUUGUUGGAAACGACUCUUUAUAUGGGAAACAAAAAUACUUUUAUUAAGACACUUAAGAAGAACUUUACACUUUGUGAGACUACUACACACUUUUGCUUUCUUUGAGGCUUUCUUGGAUGCUUGGAUGUUGGGAUUAGUUUGGAGCAAAUGAGCUCCACACCUAUUUAUAGGUGUUUGCACCUCCAUAUAGCAUGGUUCUAGAUCUACAUACACUCAUGACUAUUCUAGAACUUUCCAUCGUAUUCUAUAUCUAUUAGAAACUUCUAUAUGAUUCUAAAAUGUUCUAUAAUGUUCUAGAUUAGUCUAUGAUGUUCGUGUGUCUUCCAUAGUGUUCUAGAAUGUUCCAUAACCUUCUAGGGUCUUCUAUGUCAUUCUAGAGUAUUCUAGGCUCUUUCGGCAUCUUCUAGACUCCUCCAUAGUAUUCCAUAAUGUUCUAGAAUAUUCCAAAUAAUUCUAGAACAUGAUAACUUCUUCUAGACAAUAACAUUGAUUCUAUUGGGCUAGUGAUCACCUUUAACAUAUUCUUAACAAGGAGAUGCUUGGAUUAGAAUUCCUUGGGACUUAGAAUGAAAUGUUGGAAUCAAAAAGGAUUUUGUGAAUUCCAGCUGAAUUCAAUUCCAUAGUCUUUUACAACCAAACAAUGGAAUGGAAUUCCAAAUCCCAUGGAAUCUAGCAAACCAAACACCAAAAAGAUUUAAUUGGGUUAUUUUUAUUGGUUGUUUAUGUUUUUGUAGAUUCUUGGAACAUGGUUGAUUGCUAGGACAGAGUUUACAGAUAACAAGUCACCAGAAUGGGGUAAGAUUCCAAUCAUUAAACUUAAAGAAAAAUCCAAAUUUAAAGAUAUAUAGAAACUAAAUUAUGAAGAGUAAAGAUUCAUAAGGUCCAUUAAUUAUGUUUUAUUUAAGUAGCAUUUUGUUUAAUUCAUUAUAAUUACAUUUUCCCUUUUAAACGUAGACAUGUUAAAUAAAACGCAUUAAAUUGAAAAAAAUAAAAAGAACACAAACAAAUGUAACCAUGUUGUUUCAUUUUAAGACUAUGAGGAAAGUGGAGAGUAUGGAUUUGUUCAAGAGCUUUUUGGGUAAAUUUAAUCAUUUUAAUCAAAAUAUUUUAUAAUGAAUGCGUUUUAACCUCUUAAAUUUUUAUUUUUUUCAAUAUUUUCUAACAUGAGCAUGUGAUGUGUUUGAUGUGUUUCACAACCACAUAAAUGAGGUAAAUCCAUAGACCUCUAUAGAUUAUAAUGUAAAGUUGUAUCUUAGAUACACUACUAGAAAAAAUGCCUUUUACGACGCUCAUUGCGCAUCGUAAAACGCUCAGACGAUGCGCAAAUGCGUGUCAAGGAAGACCCUGUCAUAACGAGAGACGACACGCUUUUAAGCGUCGUCUUUAGAUGACGCACAUGUACGACGCGCAUUUAUGACACACAAUGCGUAUCAUUAAAGCUGCUGUCAAGAAAGGCCAUGUCAUAAAUGAAGAUGCCACAUUUUUGUGUAUCGUAAUUCAAAUUUUUUUUUAAAAAAAAUUAUUUAUCGAUUUACUAAUUUUCAAAUUAAAUUUUCAUUUUCAUAUCUCAUAGUAGAAAAUAAAAUACUAUAUAUAAAAAAUACAAUCCAUUGCACAAAAGUUAAUAUCAUACAAAUAAUCAUUCUCAAGCUUUAAAGCAUUAAAUGAUGAGAAAUUGCAGAAAUCACAAUUUCUUGAAUGUAAUUACUAAUAAACAUUGUGUCUACUUGACAAAUUAAACCUAUAUCAUCACAUUUACUUCAACCAGGCUUGUUUCGUGCUCUGCAUCACAUCUUUAUACACCUGAAAGAUGAAAGCAAAAAGAUUAGAAUUAGCCAUAACAAUAUAACACCAUUUAUAUGGAUAAAUUCAAAAAUAUUGUUACAGAUUUUCUUCUACUUAACCAAUAUGAUAAAUAAGUUUAAAAAAAAACAAUGAAAAUAAAUUACGAUUUAUUUAAGUAACUUGUACUCUAACAGGAGAAUGCAACAAUGGAUAGAACUAAUACAUAAGUAACUUGUACUCUAACAUUUGACCCUAUAGAAGACUCAAAAAACAUGAAGGGCAAAAAGGUAAUCGACACAUAUUGGUUACCUGUUUCUGAGGUUUUGUCAUUGUAUCUGAGGUAAACAAAUUACCCUUUAUUUAAUUACAGUAAUAAACUAAAACUGUACAAUAUCACAAUAAAAAAAAUAACAUGAAAAUUAAUCAUAAUAAUUGGAAAAAAAAGUGAAAAUUAUAAAACAAUCUAGAUAUUUGUUACAGUAAAUUAGCAAAAAUAUAAAUUAAAAAGAGAGAUGUAUCUCUAUUAUGGGGGAAACUGGAAAAGAAAAAGUGAAUAGUUUUAUGGAAUCAUCACUUUCCUAACUUAACCCACUAGGAAAUUUUAUUAACAUCAAGUAAAAAAGAAACUGUUAAACCAUUAAAUUUUUUAUAAACAUCAUAUAUCCAAACAAUAGUUGCUCAUGAGAAAAGCUCCUUCACAAAAGCACAUGUGAAAAUCUGUAGAGUUGGAAUGUUUUGAGGAUUUAUCAGCAUCUGAUAUGGAGAUGCUCAUGCUCCCAUUAAGACCAUUACUUUUAGAGUUGGAAUGUUUUGGGAUAGGAGUCUCCUUCACAAAAGCACAUGAGAAAAGUUGUAGAGUUGGCAAAACAGCAAAAAGAAGAAAAAUGGUUUCCAUUUGGAAGUUAGUGAGUGCGUAUCCUCCUAAUAAACUCCCACAGAUUCCCCCAGCAGCCAUUGCCAUCCAUGAUACCGACUGCAGGUCCCCCACAAAUUUAGCCCUGAUAAUCAAUAAUAAAUAAUAUCAGUUUUGUAUAAACCAAAAGUAUUAUUAUUUUAUCAUAGUUGUUGGAAGUGAAUGGAUGGAGAUGGAUAUAAUACCACAUACUUUUCAAGUCUUGAAGCUUCAACGAUCAUUGCAUCGAUGACAACAUUUGCCAUUGCAGAACCAAGAUUUCGCAACAACAAGAAGAUCAUGAGUUGAUCUCGGGAAUUCCUUAUGCUUUCUUCAAUGCCAACAAUCACCUAUGGAAACAAGGACAGAAGUGUUGCAAUCACUAAAUAAGGAAUCCUGUUCCUUCACUACCACAUGACAAAGUCACAAGAAUUCCCUCCAGAUAAAAGAGUCUAUAAAGAUGUUUAAACCAAAUAAAACUAACAAGUUACACAAAAAACCCAUAAAAGCCAUUAAUUAGACCUUGCAAAGAAGCUAAUUUAACUGCUUCUCAUCUGAUACAUCAAGGUUCCAGUGCUGACAGCAACUAGGUUGUUAGCCACUAUGAACUCCAAGUCAAAGUUGAAACAAAAAAUACACAUCAAAAUGAAUUUAAUAAACAGUGACUUGUUUAAAGAAUAUGAAAGUGAUAGUCCAGAAUGUGUGAAAUAUUAACACUGUUAUGCCAAAAGUUGUGGCUAUAUUAAUAUUGAAUAAGCUUCUUAAUCUAAAGAAGAUGAACAUAAGCCAACUAUCACAUUAGGAUAAUAUAAGCAUCAUAUAAACAGUAAAGAAUCAAUUGAAGUUAACUACUAUUGAACCUGAUGAACAACGAUAUGUGUAAAGAAUAUGACAGUGAUACUCUUGAACCUGAUGAGCAGCUGGUGUAGAUUCAUUUUGAACAGCAUCCUUUCUUUCCUUUGUUCCUUUAGCUUUUAGUAUUUUCAACAUUGUUCCUAAAGGCACCUCUUUACCAUAUUUUUUAAUCUCCUUCAGUAUAUUAAUAAGUAAAAGAUCAAAUGGAUAGAGAUACAUUCUAUUAUUUCAAUAUGUCAAUCUCCUAAUACCACCUGUGCCCUAAUUUCUUCGGAUGCUUUUCUUGCUGCACGAAACUAACAUAAAAUUUGUCAAUUAAGAGCGUGAAAAGUUUGAAGAUGGUUCUUGUAACGAUCUAUUGUCGAAACUAUAUACCUCGUCACCAAAAGGUCGAUUGAUGUUUGAGGAAAUCUUGGAAGAGAAUGUGGCUAACAGUAAACGUAGUGCUAAAGCUGUUUGACCAACUGUUAGGCCGGAAAACAUGGUGAAUUUUGUUUUCAGCGAAGAAACAGAUGAAAU